rnacentral:lncRNA from 1 species
UUUUUUUUUAAAGUUAAAUGAGAGGAAAUAAAAGGACUUUCCCAAACUUUCAUUUUUUUCAUUUAUGAUCUCCGUGAAUUCAAAUUCUUUUCAUCACAAAACCCUGAGAGAAGAUGACAUGACUUCUUUCAUUUAAAUAAAUGAAAAGGGUUUUUGAAAAGAUUUGAAUUUUAUUUGGAAAUAUUUCAAAUUCAGAAACUCUAAGCAACUCAAUGAUUUUCAUGAGAGAAGAUAAAAUGACUUCUUCAAAACCUACGAAAUAUGAGUUGGGAGUUUCAAAUAUUCAAAUUUAGAAUCCUUUUGAAAUUAUUUCCAAUUUGGAGUUAUUUGGGUUUUAUUCAAAUUAAUUUUCUCCAAAAAUAGAAUAUGGAAAAUAGGGUAAAAUGAUUCCCUACAGUAGAAAAUUGGAGAGAAAUAAAUUUGAAAUCAUUUUGGUAUUUUUUUUCAAUGAUUUUUAUUGGAUUUUAUUAGAGCAGUAGCACUCUUUGAUUUAUUUGAAUAUUUGUGUAUUUUAUUUGGAGCUAGAAUAAUGUUCAUGUCAUAGAAAAUCUUUUUCUGAAAAUUUUGAUAUAUUAUAUGCCUAUAUAAUAUUUUUAUUUCUUUUUUGUUUUAUUCUUUUCGUCUGACUUUUUUUUUAAACUUCGUUUCCCCGACUGGGCCGGCCCAGCCCCUGCCAGGCCACGGCCCACCUCCGCGCUGCCUCGCCCGUCGUCCCUGACCGGGACUCCUCCCGGAGUCCGGCGCCGCCCCGCCAUCGGCCGCCCCCUUCCCCACGCCACCGCGCCUCCCCUCCUCCUAUAAAACCGCCGCCCGAUCCCCUCUCCCUCCACUCGCGCCGCCGCUCUCGCCCGCACUUGCGUCGCCGCGCCGCGCCGCAGAUCACCGCCGUCGCAGCACCACUGCCGUCCCGCAUCNNNNNNNNNNNNNNNNNNNNNNNNNNNNNNNNNNNNNNNNNNNNNNNNNNNNNNNNNNNNNNNNNNNNNNNNNNNNNNNNNNNNNNNNNNNNNNNNNNNNNNNNNNNNNNNNNNNNNNNNNNNNNNNNNNNNNNNNNNNNNNNNNNNNNNNNNNNNNNNNNNNNNNNNNNNNNNNNNNNNNNNNNNNNNNNNNNNNNNNNNNNNNNNNNNNNNNNNNNNNNNNNNNNNNNNNNNNNNNNNNNNNNNNNNNNNNNNNNNNNNNNNNNNNNNNNNNNNNNNNNNNNNNNNNNNNNNNNNNNNNNNNNNNNNNNNNNNNNNNNNNNNNNNNNNNNNNNNNNNNNNNNNNNNNNNNNNNNNNNNNNNNNNNNNNNNNNNNNNNNNNNNNNNNNNNNNNNNNNNNNNNNNNNNNNNNNNNNNNNNNNNNNNNNNNNNNNNNNNNNNNNNNNNNNNNNNNNNNNNNNNNNNNNNNNNNNNNNNNNNNNNNNNNNNNCCUUCCCCGACGACCGGAGCCGCCGCCCCAACCGGAGCCAAGCCGCCGCCGCCGUCCCGCGACGCCGGACUUCGCCGCCGCCGCCGCGGUAACUCCUCGCUCUCUCUCGUCCGUUAGAUCUAGGAUCAACGGUUACGGUUAGAUCGUGAUCUAUUUUUUUCUGAACCAUUUUUAUUUAUUUAGCGAACGGUUCAUCCGUUAGCCUAGGCAGCGGACGGUUCCGUUCGCUAGUCUCCCGUAACGAACGUUCGCUUUUUAGUCUUUUUCUUUUUCCGUUUAGUUUCAGCCAGGGACCCAUCCGUGAACACUUUAUUUACAUAUUAGCCCCUGAUCUUCAAACCCUCACAACUUUUACACCGUUUAUCCAAAUCCGACAAAACCAACGCCCACUUCUUCGUUACGAUCUCCUCUAUCCAGAUAAUCAACUUAAACAUGUUUUGAAAUUUUUAAAAUUUUAAUUCAAACAGAUUUGUAUUUGAACUUCGUCUGAUCGUAACUCGAGUUUUAUAACUCCGUUUGAGUUGAUUCUUUUUGCAAAUCGAAGCUCUUGACCUAAACUUUCUGAUAAGGCCAAAUUCACUUAAUUUUGGUGCUGUUAGAAAUUGUUUUAUGUUGCAAGAGUGAAUUACUUGUUUUCGAAGUUUUCCGAAGUCUUUUCUUCGAUUCUUUUGCAUGAUUGCUUAUGUGUGGUUACUAUUGCUUGCUUACGAUAGAUUGACCGGAGUGUGACGAGUAGAACUAUCAGGAGUUAUGAAUGCGAAUCAUCUUCAUCAACUGUACAAGGCAAGUUCACACUUUGAUCAUACUUUUCAUUACCCAGUUUUUAUGCAUUAGUUUUAAUCCUCAAACACUACAUGGUUAGGACUUGAUAACAGGUGGGUUAUGGGAAGUAGUUGAUGAGGUAGGAACCUAUUGUCUUGCAUUCAAACCCAGGGUGUUACUACGUUAUACUUAUACUGCUAUGCUAUGCUCGUAGACGUGGUUUGGUUUGAGAGUAUUCAUGAAAGAUGUGAGAGUUAUUGCUAACUAAGGUUUAACUUAAGGUGGCUACUUUAAUACACAUUUGGGUGGAUUGGUUGGGGCACCUUGGAGCACCCAGUGGUUUGCCCGAGCACCUGGAGAACCCAGUGCUUGCCCAAGGGGAUCCCGGAGUACCCGUGUGAUCACCCUAUGGAAUGCCACCCAGGCUCAAAGGGAUAAUAAGAUUAUUCAUGCUAGAAACUUCCGUGUGCAGCCACAAGAUAUUAUGGGCUCUAGCAUAGUUGAGUAUGUUGCAUGACCUCUUCCAGUGGUAGGCUAGCAGAUGUAGGGGAUGUAGGUUGGUACUGUCUACCUAGGGUUAGAGUUAAUGCUUCUGAAAGACUGUGUCUCGGUCAUCCGUUUCUCAAACACCAUGUAGUGCGAGAAAUCCAACGGAGGAGAUCGAGUCUUGUGGGGAAAAGUGCACAAACCUCUGCAGAGUGUACAAACUAAUCAUGAUUAGCCGUGUCCCCGGUUAUGGACAUCUUGAGUAUCUGGUACUUGAAUUAUUGAUUUGAUCUCAUCACUCUAAAUUAUUUGUUGGGUUGUUAACUUUUAAUUGGGAUUGAGUUGGAGGAACCUUCUCCAUAAUUUUCAACCAACUUGGUAGUUAAAUAAAGAAUAUUCCUUUGAUGUAGGGAAAAAUUGUCUUUUCGCAAAAACAUUAUAACCAUAGAGCCUCCACCAUCCAUAUAUGCAUGUAGUGAUAGCUAUUAUUCAUCAUUUGCUCUAUGGUGUGAAUUUCCAGUACAUUCAAUGUACUGGCCCCUUGUGGCUGCACCGUCUCAUGUUGCAGGAAUCUUACGAUGAGUAAGUGAUACGUUAGGGUUACGAUUUCUACACUCAACUUUGCCGUUGGUGUUGAUGGGAAUCCACAACCCUAUUGUUACUUCCGCUAUUUGGAUUGAGGUAAUAGUAUUUACGUUACUUUAUACAUGUGAUUUACCUCUGUUAUAAAUCCUCGAGUAUUGUGUGUGUCAGCAUACCGAUCCAGGGAUGACACUUAAGCACAGAGACUUGACCGUCUGAGGUCGGGUCGCUACAGAGCUCCCCCUAAAUUUGUUCAUUAUUUGAGAUUUGCUUUUGAAUGCAAAUGCACAAUCGAUUAGGAUCAUGGGUUACUCUUCUAUGUCACAUACAUCUUGGUGGGGCACUCAGAAUGAUAGAAAGUAGGUACAUGCACUCAUCACCAAGCAAAGUGAAUGAUCGUACAAGUAUCUCACACACAAAGACAUAAAGUAUCAAGCAAGCACACAAAAGUAUCAACCAAAACAAAAGAGACAAAAGAGGCAAAGCACUCUCUCUCUCGAAGCCUAUGAUCUAUACAUUUCUCCCCCUUUGGCAACAAGUUACCAAAGAGUUCGAAAAUGCAUUGUGGUAUGCGUCUCUCUAGGCUUGAUCUUCGGGAGGUGGUGUUGAGAGGACUCCAAGGACGAAUGCAUCGGUUGAAGUUAUUGGAGUUGGUGGAGUUGCAACUGGAGGUGGCACUGAAGUUGUGGCUGCUGGUGCUGAUGUGGUUGCUCUUGUGUCAGCCAUGGGCACUGCAGUAGAUCUCUGACCUCUUGGCACUCUUUGAAAGGCAUAUGUGGUAGCCUGCCCUUUCCUCUCCUCAGCUUCUUCCUGGAGCUGCUCAACUGCGGUCUGCAUCUUAGUCAAUUUCAGAUCAAGAUCAUAGAACUUUGUUUCAAUGAUCCUCUCCAGACUCUCUUGGUUCUGAGUUAGGGUGGCCAAGCCCUUCUCAAUCCUCAAGGUUGCUUGAAUCAGAUAAGCAAGUUGAUCUUGUUUGCUCUUCAGAAACACUUGAGAUGCCUCUUCAACACUUGGCAUAUUUGCGGCUUCCUCGGCCUUAGCCUUCUCUCUCUUUUCUUGUGCUUGCACAGAAGUGGGAUCCUCAAAAUCUAGUCUCAAGGGUAGAUGCUCCUUGUCCAAAAGAUAAGUGCAUGUGCCCAUCUUGGAGUUGAUGAGUGCCUGAAUAUGUGGAGCAUACCCACAAGAUCUCUUCUGGUCUGCAGCGGUCCUCUUGAUUGUUUCCACAAUUAGCUCAUGACUUUGAACUUUUGGGGCACAUCAAACAGUUGUAGCAAGUUAAUUGAAUGACCUCUGAUCUUGUGUUAUCCAGAUUUUGGCAACAAUGUAUGCCUCAGAAUGGUGUUGAUAGUAGCUAAGCCAGACAACAGAUAAUGUACAGACCCAAGCUUACGAGUUUCCAAAGCUUUGUCUGGAAUCUCUUUGUACAUGUUGGCCAUAGAGUUGUGGUCUUUCUUCUUCUUGGCAUAGACAUCCAAGUCAUCUUCAUGCUCUUCAGGGGCAUUGAUCAAUUUUUCCCACUCAUCAACAGUAGAUUGGUACCUUGUACCUUCAGACAUCCAAACUAUUCUUCCAUCAGGAUAGAAGUGUGCAGUGGAGUAGAAUUGCAUUGAUGAGUUCAUCAUUCCACUUGGUAAGCUUCUGUCCCACAAAGUUGUCCACUCCACAUGCUUUGAAGCUCGCAUGUACACCUGGAAAAUGGUCUUCAUUCUCAUCAAUGUAUUUCCAGUCAGCCCACUUCAUAUCACAGACUAUGGGCUUCUUAUCAAGUAGAAUGGUUUCAUAGAAAUCUUGCUGCUCUUUGGUAUGGAACCUGUAGUCCACAUCAGUAUUUCUCCUCACAGCAUAUGGAUCACUCUGUCUCCAAAGUCUGAGACCUGCAUCCUUCCUGAUGCUCAUAUCUUCUACCACUGGAUGGCUGUCAUCGUGAUCUGGAAUUUUUUGGUUUGAGCUUCCUAAGCACUUGGGCUUCGGCAUCUUCUUCUCCAUCCAUCUCAGGCACUGGGGCCUUGUUCUUCUCAGCAGCUGGAAUAUUCCUUGUGCUCCUCUUGGGCUUUGAAGCCUUUGAAGCUUGAGCAGUAGCUUUGGGAGCUGUCUUGGGCUUAGAAGGGGCAGCCCUAGACUUGAUGGCAUCUCCCAUCAGCUUUUGAGACUUGGGUGCUGGUGCAGCAUCCUCUUCCUCUUCUUCAUCUUUAGAAUCUCUCACCAUGGUUGAUGUUCCAAGUACUUUUGCAGUUGUGGUUCUUGCCCUUUUCUUCUUCUUGCCACCAGCCACAUCAUCAUCUGACUGUUCUAUAGAGAACUGCAUGGUUUCUCCUGUUGGAACUUUUCUUGGCUUGGAUGUUGGCACUCUUUUGGUAGGAACUUUCUUGUGCAUACCAGGUUUUGUUGCAGCAGCAGUCCCAUAUUCUUUCUUCAGCACUUUUUUCUUGGAGCUCACUUCCUCCUCAGCAGCCACAUAGUCCUCAUCCUCUGAGUCUGAGUUUUUCUUCUUCCUAGUUCUUGUAGCUGCCUUGGGCAAAUUUCUUGGAGUUCUCCUGCUUCCCUCAUCAUAGCUGCUAGAGGGACUAGUGCCCUCACUCAUGUUCACUUGCUCUUCUGACUUGUUCUGGCUAUCACUCUGGUUAGACAUACUGGCAAAGCAAACUGACAGCAGACCCUGUGAAUAGAUAUAGAUGAGGUAGAGUGGAUAAGCAUCACAAAGUGCAGAGGUUUUGCAAAACAGAUGAGUCAAAACUUAGUUUUAGUUUCCCACAGAAAGCAUUUCGGAGCUACCGAUUUGUUAAACUCGGUGACACCGAAGCAAGUGUUGGAGUCUAAACUAGUGAAAUCGGUUAGACUGAGUCACAGUUCGGUGACUCUGAGAUUGCUAGGGUUUCACAGAGAGUUGAACUUGGUCACACCGAUUAGCAACUUUCGGUCAGACCAAAAAGUGCAAGUGCAAUGGCCUGAGCCAAACCGGUGAGACCGAUUUCCACAACCGGUUGGUCCGAGAUGAGUUCGGCGGAAACCUAACCCUAAAUUCGAAUCAAAUCUAAUCUAAGGGAUGUUAUUGCUGGACAGGAUGAUUUCAUACGUGGUAAAGAACAUGGCAUUUGCUUUGUGCUAAGUAUCGGAGUAAAGAACAACACAAAGUUUCGAACUCAUACCCUAGUUCAGCGGUGAGUUCGCUAUGGCGGCAACGGCGGGGUUGAAUCCCGUUGACGGUGACGGAAACAAGCGGCAGGAGGUCGCUGGCGACGAGGAGAUGAUCCAGAGACCCGAGGCGGCAGAGCAGGACACGCGCGGGAUGAAGGGGUUGGAGAAGUUUCCAAAAUUCAACCCGUCGGUAUAUAUAUAUCCCGACCCUGACGGUGUGACCGAGUGGAACAACUCGGUGGCACCGAGAUGCAGAAUCGCAAGCGGUUAUUGCAACUCGGCGUGACCGAAAAGUUCUAAUCGGUUGCACUGAGAUUGAAAACCUAGAUCAACUCAGUGAACUCGGUCAGACCGAAAAGGAUGAAUCGGUCAGACCGAAAUGCACAGAGAGUUUUUGGAAGUUUAAGUCUAUGACGAAUUGGGGACUCCGAUUGCUCCUCACACAGAAUGUUCGAAUCUGACUUGAUCAAACUUUGUGAUGUAGCAUGAAUAGAGUUUGAGACGAGAAAAGCAUAGAUAGCUAGAGGGAGUUCUUAGGCAUUCUUGUCCAUCCAUUUGGCAAAAGAAAAGGCCGAACAAUCAAAGCAACAAAUGGAUGUCCUCGAAUGAGUAAAAUAUGCAAUCAACAUGCUCACACAAUAAAAUGGCAAAUGAAAUAUGUGACAAAGCAUGCACAAAUACUCUAGCAUCUAUCAAGCAAUUGGCGAUGACAGGUCAUCUAUAUAUGAGUAUAUUGACUUAGGAGUCAAAUGAGAACAUUUGAUCAUAGGUCAUACUCAUCGUUUAAGCACAAGUGGGGUUACCACUUUUACAUAAAGCAUUGUUGUGUUCACACCAUUAGAGUUGCUUUAGCUCAAUAUUUGGAGUAAAGCUCCCCCUAGAUGCGAUAUCCCCCCUAAGAGGGAUGAACUAACCUUGGGUUUUGUCGAUGAUGACUUCAUGUAGAUGUUGAAGAUGUGGAUGCUCAAUGUUGAUGUAGAUUAUUUGGAGCAAUCCAUUGGAGUGAGUUGCACUUUCAAUACCUACACGGGUUAGUCCCACAAGGAACAAACAAGGAUAUCCAUAGACAUAGAGUGAUGUUCACACAAGAUGAUGUCCAUGGAAGCAUUAGGUUACCUUGUCCCUUGUCUUACCAACAAGAGGGUUUGUAACUCCUUGAACUAGUGCAAGAUGUGGAAGUUGUUUGCACUUGUCCUCGCCAAAAUGAUAUGAGUGGAGUAUGUUGGCGGAGCCACCCUCAAGAACUCUCUAGUUCUUCUUCUUCGGGAUCCACAUCAUCUUGAUGGGAAUCCUUGGAGUUGUAGUCGUACUUGAUGAAGUAGAACUUGAUGUAGUCUUGGGAACCCACUUGACCAAGGCCUUAGGAGCUUCUUCAAAUGCAUCAAUCUCCUCUUGAAGCUUGUCCUUGCCCUUUUGCUUGUGGUCUUGUGGUGGAAGAUCAUCUUGAGCUUGUGUCCCUUGGAAAGAAGUAGGAUCAUACUUCUCUUGUUGAGGAACAAACUUCAUCUUAGGGUAUUGAUCUUCUUCCCACUCAACUCCAUUGGCAUUGAACUUUCGUUCAAAACCAACACCUUGAUUCUUCCGGUGCCUUCCUUGCUUGUGUACAAUUUCCUCAAAUUGCUUACUCCCAGCAAGGCUCUUGUAAACACCUUUCUCUAUAAUUCCCUUCAAUAAGCUAUUUUCUUGCUCAAGUGUAACUUGGCUAAGAGAAUCAUUAGUGGAAUCAAGAGAACUACUAGAAGCAACAAUAUUGGAUUUAACAUGAUCAUUGUUACUACUAGAAGAAGAAUUUUUCUUGCUCUUGUUGCUAGAUUUAACUUGUGGCAUGUAAGUAGACAAGAGUAAACGCUUGGCAAUGUAAGAAGAUAUUUUCUUGCGAAGAUCAUCAUUGAUUGCUUUUAAGAACCCAUGCUCUUACUCAAGGUUGAGCUUUUCAAAGCAUAACUUCUCAUGAGUCUUUAAAAGUUCUCGACGAUCUUCCAAGGUAGUUUCAUGAGCUAACUUAAGAGUGUUUAGCUCUUUAGUUAGACGCUCAAUCUCCUUCUUAUCAUCAUCAUUCGUUUUAUCUUGAUUAGCAUGAUUAAUAGCAAUUUCAUCAUAGUUUUCAUCACUAGAAUUGUCAACAAGUAAAUCAUCAUCACCUAGCAAAUCAUCUUCAUCACUAUUGAAAUCAACAUACUUGGGGUGUGAUACCUUUGGGCCUUUAGCCAUGAAACAUCUUCCAAUUACUUCAUUUGGUGAGUCAAAUAUGUCAUAGGAGUUGGUUGACACAAGUGCUAGACCGGCAACACCUUCAUCUUGAGUAUAUUCGGAGUCAGAGUGAUAACUUCUUUCAGAGUGAUGGUCGGAGUCGGAGCCGGAUACCCAUUCGACUACAUGAGCUUGAUGUCUUUGUUUUGUGUAGCUCUUUGAUGAUUUGUCCUUCCUUUCUGAAUCCUUGCUUCUUUGAGAGGUUCUUCGUUCAUAACGAUCAUCUCUACUCCUUAUUCUUCUCUUCUACUUCUCCUUUUGGGCGAACCUUCUCUUCUUUUGUAGGGAGUUGUACACUCAUUGGAGUAGUGUCCGGGUCUUCCACAAUUGUAGCAAUUACGCUCAUGACUCUCUUUUGUCAUUGUAGGACCUUGACUUGGAACUUCUUUCUUUGCUUCUACUCUUGUAGAACUUGUUGAAGUUCUUCACCAUUAGGCUCAAUUCCUCAUUGAAGGUUUGUUUCUCCCUUGAUGAUGUAGGAGGAUCACAUGAGGCUUUGUAAGCACCACUUGACUUGUUGUGAAGCUCUUCCUUAUCCUUGAGUGACAUCUCAUGAGCAACGAUUCUUCCAAUGACUUCCGUUGGCUUGAGAUCUUUGUAGUUAGGCAUUAUUUGGAUCAAUGUGCACAUGGUAUCAUAUUUUCCAUCCAAGGCUCUUAGGAUCUUCUUGAUGAUGAAUCUAUCGGCCAUCUCUUCACUUCCUAAGCCGGCAAUCUCAUUUGUGAUGAGAGCAAGCCUAGAGUACAUUUGAGCGACACCUUCACCAUCCUUCAUUUUGAACUUGUCAAGUUGACUUUGAAGCACAUCCAAUUUGGAUUCCUUGACGGAGUCGGUACCCUCGUGCAUAUCAAUCAAAGUAUCCCAAAUUUCCUUUGCAUUCUCAAGACGGCUGAUUUUGUUGAAUUCUUCGAGGCAUAAUCCGUUGAAGAGGAUAUCGCAAGCUUGAGCAUUGUAUUGCAGCAUCUUCAACUCUUCCGCGGUAGCUUCACGGUUUGUUUCUCUCCCAUCAAAGAAUUCACCUUGUAAGCCAAUACACACAAUAGCCCAAACGGCGGGGUUAUGUCCAAGAAUAUGCAUUUUCAUCUUAUGCUUCCAACUAGCAAAAUUAGUACCAUCAAAGUAAGGACCUCUAUGGUGGUAAUUUCCCUCGCUAGACGCGAUACUCUCCUAGGUUGUGAAACCAAGGCUAUGAUCACCAAAAGCUAUGGAAAUCAAGGCAAAUGGAGACCAAAGCUAUGAUACCACUUGUAGGAUCGAAAGUAUGUCUAGAGGGGGGCGGUGAUUAGACUACUUGACCAAAUAAAAAUCUAGCCUUUUCCCAAUUUUAAGUCUUGGCAGAUUUUAGCAACUUAGCACAAGUCAAGCAAUCAACCUACACAUGCAAGUCUAAGAGUAUAGCAGCGAAAUGUAAAACAUUUGCAUAUGAAGGUAAAGGGAAGAGUUUGGAGGGAGCAAACGCAAUGUAGACGCAGAGAUUUUUUCCAUAGUUCCGAUAGGUGGUGCUAUCGUACAUCCACGUUGAUGGAGACUUCAGCCCACGAAGGGUAACGGUUGCACGAGUCCACGGAGGGCUCCACCCACGAAGGGUCCACAAAGAAGCAACCUUGUCUAUCCCACCAUGGCCAUCGCCCACGAAGGACUUGCCACGCUAGGGUAGAUCUUCACGAAGUAGGCGAUCUACUUGCCCGUACAAACUCCUUGGUUCAACUCCACAAUCUUGACAGAGGCACCCAAAUGACACCUAACCAAUCUAGGAGACACCAUUCUCCAAAAGGUAAUAGAUGGUGUGUUGAUGAUAAACUUCUUGCUCUUGUGCUUCAAAUGAUAGUCUUCUCAACACUCAACUCUCUCUCACGGAUUUGGAUUUGGUGGAAAGAUGAUUUGAGUGGAAAGCAACUUGGGGAAGGCUAGAGAUCAAGAUUCUUGUGGUUGGAAUGGAAUAUCUUGGUCUCAACACAUGAGUAGGUGGUUCUCUCUCAGAAAAUGUAUGCUGGAAGUGUAGGCACGUUCUGAUGGCUCUCUCCACGAAUGAAGAGUGGCUGGAGGGGUAUAUAUAGCCUCCACACAAAAUCUAACCGUUACACACAAUUUACCAAACUCGGUGGGACCGGAUUAUGAAACUCGGUCAGACCGAUUUAGUUCAAAAUGUGAACGUUAGGCUUUUUCGGUGGGACCGACAUGUCAACUCGGUGGGAAUGAUUUCAUUAGGGUUAGGGCAUAACGUAAUCUCGGUGAGACCGAUGACAUAAACUCGGUAGGACCGAUUCAGCAAUAGGCAAACAGAGAGUUGGUCAGGAAAACUCGGUGGGACCGAUUCGCUCAUUUCGGUGAGACCGAAACGUUACGAAAGGGAAACAGAGAGUUUGCAUUGUGAACUCGGUGGGACCUAUCGCUCAUCUCGGUUGGACCGAAACGUUAUUAAGGGAAAUAGAGAGGUUGCAAUCCCAUCUUGGUGAGACUGAGAUCCCUAUCGGUGAGACCGAAGUGACUAGGGUUUCUGGCUAUGGCUAUGUCAAAUGAACUCGGUGGCGCCGGAUAGAUCAAAUCGGUAGGGCCGAGUUUGACUUUUGGUUUGGGACAUAUGUGGAUAUGAGAAAGUGGUUGAGGGCUUUUGGAGCAUAUCACUAAGCAUUUUGAGCAAGCAAGUCAUUAAGCAACACCUCAUCCCCUUUUAAUAGUAUUGGCUUUUCCUAUGGACUCAAUUUGAUCUUGGAUCACUAAAAUGAAAAAGUAGAGUCUUGAACUUGAGCCAAUAUGUGUCCUUAGCAUUUUGAGGGGUCCAAAUUCCUAGUCCAUGCCAUGCCAAUCAUUGAACUUUCUGAAAUGAUCAUCUUGAAAGAGCAUUAGUUCAAUGAGUUAUAUGUUGUUAGGAAUUACCAAAACCACCCAGGAAUAGUUGCACUUUCAUUAUCACAUGAGAUGACACCAGACACGAGUGUAGUUGAAGGAGUCAAUGUUGCAUCAUCAUGUGAGAAUGAUGUAUAGCUGGAGCUAGUUGGGUUGGCUGGUUGAACAACAGUGUGAAAACAUACUCAGAAAUUCAUUGUUCAACAAGAAUGAAGCUAGCGACAUCGUGUCAAUCUAUGUAACAGCUAAUUUAUACAUAUAUACUAUUAUCGUAACAGUUGAACAUAAAAAAAUCUUACGUGAUAUCAUAAGGGGAGGCAGAUUUUCAUCUCGGAUAAGCUGCUCUUUUUUCUUCCAGUAAUUAGCUCGCCUCUGGGCGUUUCUGUGCUCCCUUUUUCGUGUGCCAAGCUAAUCGUGUCAUCUUCUAGACGUUUUUGCCUAGUUUGUUUGGUAUCAUUGACAACUCCUGGUGUCAUUCAGGACAUACUCAGAAUUAAUUGUUCAACAAGAAUGAAGCCAGGCUCCAGACUGAAUAUAUGGACUAUCAUUGGUAUAUCAUCGUAAAGAUGUAACAUAAAACAAUCUUACCAGAUACCAUAAGGGGAGACAGAUUUUCGUCCUGGGUAAGCUGCUCUUUUUUCUUACGGUUAGUAGCUCGUAUCUGGGAGUUUAUUUGCUCCCUUUUUUCACGUGCCAAUCUAUUGUUGCGUUCUUCUACACGUUUUUGCCCAGUUUGUUUGGUGUCAUUCAGGACAGCUCCUGGUGUCAUUCAUGCGAUAAUCAGAAUUUAAAUGUUGAAAAACGAUGAAACCAGAAAAAAAAAGAAUAUAUGGAGUGAUUCUUGAAUAAGUACAUGCUAUAAUUGACGAAGUUGUAAAAACUCACAACUGUACCUGACAUCGCAUCGGAAGGUCGAUGAACAUUCGUGAUAUCACCGAGAGGGGGUUGGGGAACAAUUUGCACAUCAUCCUAUAGUUUCGUGAUACCCUCCUCCUUUUUCUUCUGAUAAGAUGCCCGCCUCCGCGCGUUUAUAAGCUCCCUUUUUCUUCUUUAUCACGUUGCAUGCUAGCUAGUUCUUUGUCAUCAAAGGAAUUUGAUAUGAGAUAGGUCGAAACAAUGAUAAAAGUAUGAAUCAUCAUGUGAGAACUAUAGGAUGAAGGUUGGUUUAAUUUAAAGGAUGUAAAACAAUGAAGCCAGAAAAAAAAUGAAUAUAUGGAGUGAUUGUCGAAUAAGUACAUACCAUAAUUCAUGACGUUGCAAAAACCCACAUCUGUACCUGACAUCGCAUCGGAAGGUCGAUGAACAUUCGUGAUAUCACAGAGAGGGGGUUGGGGAACACUUUGCACAUCAUCCUGUAGUUUCGUGAUACCCUCCUCCUUUUUCUUACGAUAAGAUGCCCGCCUCCGCGCGUUUAUAAGCUCCCUUUUUUCUUCUUCAUCACGUUGCAUGCUAGCUAGUUCUUUGUCAUCAAAGGAACCGGAUAUGAGCUACAUCGAAGCAAUGAUAAAAGUAUGAAUCAUCAUGUGACAAGGCUGGUUUAACGCGAACGAAAUGGAAAAUAAUCUAUGACUAUUCAUUGAUUGUCGCAACAUGUAAUCAUUAAAUGGUAUUACCGGACAUUGUAAGGGAAGGUUGAUUUUCAUCUUGGAGCUUGACCUUACCCUCCUAUUUUUUCUUUCGAUAAUCAGCUCGCCUCCGGGUGUUUAUCUGCUCACUUUUAUCAUUACUCAAGACAACCCCUGUCUGGUGCUCAUAUGCUGGAUUAGACACUGAACAUUCCAUCGCACGAGCAUUAAGCCCUACCUGGUUCCCCUCAUCGAUCUGGGAAGAUUGUACAACUAAUGGAACAACACAAAAGCAAUAAGCUGUCCAAAUAUAUGGAGUUGAACACCCAUAAGCACUAAUUCUUUCAGAUGAAAAACGGAUCGUGUAAUACCUUCUGAACUCUGUGGUAGAUCUGUGGCAUAAACCAGUGUGAGAUUAUUGGGAGCAGGCAACGAAGCAUCAUCAUGUAGCACACUUGAUCCAUCAGGUGUGUUGUUGCCCUCAUCGUAGUCUGCAAGGUAUGACUGAUCACAUACAAAGUCGAUGAUAUAGGUCAAAAAGUAUGUUGACGAGAUUUACACAGACUUAUACCUGGACCAAUUGAGUAACUCUCGUCAAGAUUGUCAGCUACGGGUAUAAAAUCUGUGUUGUAUUCAUCAACAUUUGUGCCAUCCAUAUGCCCUGCAACACAUAAUGUAUACACAUUGUGUGAAGGGAAUGAUGUUUACCAUGUACAGCUAAAUCUGGUUCUAGAACACAUACCUGUAGCUACACCUGAGGGUUUUUUAUCCUCAGUUGCCUUGCUUUUUGAAUUCCCCAUACGUACUUUUGAAUUGCCUGUAUGAGACGAAAAGAUAAUUGCUUGAAAUAUGAAACAAAUAUAAGUUACAGAUUAAUCUCCAAACAGACCUCAUACAGGCAAGUAGGCAACUGAGGACAAUAUAAGUUGGUGUAUUACUUCCUGAACUAAAACAAUUUUUGGUACUAUCAUCAUGUAACAACUCUCCUGUACUCUUCAGCAUGUGGAUUUUGUUUUUCAAGAGGAUGACACCAACGUCCACAUGGACUUUGCAGCGUGCGAGGAACAAGCACCAGGGCUAGUUUACUGCCCUGCUCUUCAGCUCUCCUGAUAGGAUUUUUGGUACUACUUCUUGAUACAUAGCUUGCGAGGAACAAGCAGCAGGGCUAGUUCACUGCCCUGCUCUUCAGCGCUCCUGAAACAGUUUUUGGUACUACUUCCUGAUACAUAGCUUGCGAGAAACAAGCAACAACGCAAUUGUAUUAGUUCCUGAUCCAUAGCAUGCGAGGAACAAGCAGCAGGGCAAUUGUAUUAGUUCCUGAUACAUAGCAUGCGAGGAACAAGCAGCAGGGCAAUUGUAUUAGUUCCUGACACAACUCUUGCUGAUACAUAGCAUGCGAGGAACAAGCAGCGGAUUUUUGGUACUAUCAUCAUUUAAUAACUUCACUGGACUUUGUCUUUCAGGAGAAUGACACCAACGGCCUGCGAGGAACAAGCAGCAUGAGCCUCAUGGAGGAGGACCUGUAUGCACUAACAUACACAAGAUGGCAGAGAAGUUCUCCGCUCUUCGGCUCAAAGUGAAGGAGGUGGAUGCGUUGCAGAAUCACUCCUCCAGCAGGUGAACUAAUUAAUUUGCAUUGUCUUCUUUUCGUACUUUAUUAAUACCAACUUCAGCGGCCAGAACGUAUUUCUGAAAGAAGUUUCUGAACCUUGAAAUUGUGUGACUGAUGCUGAGCGAUCUGUUGUGUUAACUCCUUCUGAAUCUCUUGACCUGCUAGGACAGCAAGGACAAGUGCACGGCACGGUGGUGCACCGAAGCGUCACGACGAACAUGGUAAUGUAAGGUUGUUGAGCUGUAGAGGAAUGCUAUUAGAUGUAUGUCCGGUUACUCCAUCCAUCGGGUUACUCCAUCCUUUUGUGGUUUGAACUAUGAUGUAGAGGAAGAUGAGGCACAUCACACUUGCCAUCAACGAGGAGCUGGACCUGUACACUAUGCUAAUUGUAAGUAUCAUCUAGUUGCUACCUAUCAAUCAUGUCCUUCGAACAGGUGCUGGACCUGAAAACUAUGCUAAUUGUAAGCAUAAUCUAUUUGCUAUCUAGUAUCAAUCAAUCAACUCGAACAGGUGCUUAUUUCUAAAACCGUUGUACAUGGGUGUUGCAUGGUCCUCGCUCCCAGGCCGAUUCCUUUGGGUUUGUUUUACGUGAGGGAGGAAUGGGCGUCGUCCGUUUUUUUUUUGUUUGUGCAACGGGGAAUGGGUACGGCGUAACCCCGCAAAAAAAGAGGGUACGGCGUAGUUGAGUGUUUUUUUGUUAGCGUAGAUUGGAUCUGGGGAGGUGGGAGGAGGACGAAAAAAAAUCAGAGGAAGGUAGGAGGUGGGACGAAAAUAAACCGGAACGGAGACUAUCAACUGCUCCAUUAGGAGUAGAGAUUAAGGACGUGCUCAAAAGAAAUAUUUAAUUAAGGACCCUGAUAACUGCCACCCGCAAAAAAAGACCCUGAUAACUGCCACGGGUAUGGCGCGAGCACAUGUCAACUCCCAACGGUUUUGAUGGCAAGUUUAGUGACACGGAGAUGACAACUUUAAUUGUCAAGUAUGACAACUUCCUUUUUGCAUGGCAAGUUUCAGUUAUUUUUUGGGUUUGUUUAUUUUUUUGAAUGACAAUUUUAGUUGUCAAGCACGGCAAGUUUCAGCUAUUUUUGAAGUUUUUUUCUCUUUUUGGAUGACAACUUUAGUUUAAAAAGCGUCCCGACCGAAGUGCUUUGUGCCACACGUAUGACACUUAUCAUUCGGAUUAAUUAAUGGAUGAGUCAAAUCUUUUGCAUUUGUUUCAAAAAAAUACCGAUUAAGUUUGGAGUAAAAUAAAACGCAUCCAAUGUAUCUAUUCUCUACAUUCUAACUUACUAAUUACUCCAUCCGUCCCAUAAUAUAUAUGAUGUUAUUACAUCUAAUAUACGGCAUAAUAAAUGGCAUUCUUAAGAGAAGACUCAAGUCACACUGUACAUCACUAAGCAACAUACCUGGCCAAAUGGGCCGGCCUGGCCCGGCCCGCGGUAAACGUGCCUGGCACGGCAUGGCCCGCGACGGCACGACUAAUAGCCGAGCUGUGUCAUGCCGGCCCACGGGCGGGAGGUCGCAGCCCAGGCAUGGCCCAACUACUAAUCAGGCCGGUCCACCGGCACUUGGGUGUUUUUAGCGUAUUUUUACCUGUUAUGCCACAUAGAGAUGUAUAGAAAAAACCCGUAAUCAGGUCGUGCCGUGCCAGCCCGCGUGCUCAGGGUAGCAGCCCAAGCACGGCCCAGGGCGUGCCACGGGCCUGGCCCGGCCCGUUUAGCCCGUGCCGUGCCUAGCCCUGGCACUAAGCAAUGUGUCAACAACAACAAAAAUAAUGUGUCCACAGUGCACACCAAUCUUGAGUGCUAGGCUAAGAAAAUGUGACUGGUGGAAAACCAAAGACCUGCCCCGGGCCGGGAGACGAAACCAAAAGCAGAUGAAAGCACAGAGAGAGACAUGGAAGAAAGGAACCAUUCUUUCCCAAGCCACAAGAAAAUACCAUUCUACGCAAUCGCCAUCAAGCAACCUCGAUGCCACGUACACCCAUGGAUUCCAACCCUUGGAAUACAUAUAUCUGCAUAUAAAAACAUGCGGCGACAUCGCCAUCACAUACACGGUAUACCAAGCCUGUCCGGCGAACCAUGGACGUCCCCGGCGGCCGGGCGUACGGGGAGGAGGAGGAGCUGGACCCGGCGGUGGAGUGGAGGCAGGCCGGCGACGACCAGGACGUGGUGGAGCUCCGGCUGCCGGGGUUCCGGAAGGAGCACGUGCGCGUGCAGGUCGACAACUACGGCGUGCUCCGCGUCACCGGCGGCCGCCCGGCCCGGGGCGGCCGCUGGAUCCGCUUCACCAAGGACCUCCGCCUCCCCGACAACUGCGACGCCGACGGCGUCCGGGCCAGGUUCGAGGACGAGAAGCUGCUCAUCAGCCUCCCCAUCGUCCCCGGCGCCGUCGCCGGCGGUGAGGCGGAGUCGGCCCACACGCCCACGCCGUCGCCCCCGGAGCCAUUGCCGAGGCCGGCGUUGCUGCCGCCGCCGUCUUCGGUGCCUCCUCCUCCACGUUUGCCUCCGCCUCCCGGGAAGCCCAGCUUCUUCGAGCCAAAGAUCCGGCCUCCGCCGGUGCCACCACCACGGGCGCCAUCAUCACGCUCACGUCCACUUCCUCCGUUUCCGGCUGAGCCCCCCACUGUUUUCGAGCCAAAGCCACCGCCGGUGGAGAAGCCCACUGCUUUCGAGCCAAAGGUCCGACCGCCACCGCCUCCAUCACCGCCGCCAAUAUCACGCCCACCUCCUCCAUUCUCGUCUAAGCCCCCCAGCUUUUUCGAGCCAAAGGUACCGCCGCCGCCUCCACCACCGCCGGCGCCAAAGCUCCGACCACCGCCGCCAAUAUCACGGCCACUUCCUCCGUUCCCGUCAAAGCCCCCCAGCUUUUUCGAGCCAAAGGAACCGCCGCCGCCUCCACCACAGGAGCCAGCACCGGCACCAUUGCCGUCGCGUCCACCUCCACCUCCGCCACCACGUGAACGUGCGCGGUUACCGUCGUUUCCACCACCACCACCACCCCCUCCUCCGGCGAAGCCCACUUUCUUCGACCCAAAGCUCUGGCUGCCGUGGCGGCAUUCAGAUCACGCUCGAGACACCCCUCCCGAGCCCACAUUAACAAAGCCCGCCACCACCACCGAACAGAAGCCCUGGGCACCGGCGAUCGUUCCUGGCCCAAGGACGGCCGAUCCGGAGCACGGGCCACCGCCAUUGCCACCUCCAAAACAGAGUACAGCCACUCUGCUUCAGCCCAAGUCACCCCCGCUGUCAGAUAUACCAAUCGGCGUCUCAUCUCCAUCGCCGCCUCCACCACCACCACCACCACCACGGCCGCCUAGUCAUCGUCUCCCGGAAGCAAAGGCGAGGACGAAGAAGAAGCAUCGCAAGGUGCAAGAUGAAGACGGCAAGGUAAGGUUGCCAUUGCUGGAGGAGAUGAAGAGGCAAGAGGAGAAGAAGAUGGAGGGCAAGAAAGCGAUGGAGGCGGCCAACUGUGGAAGACAGCCGGCUAAGCACGACAAUAUGGAAGUGUCACCGAAGCUGCUGCCGGCGAGCGAGGAUCCAGGGACGCCGCCCACGACGGAGCUGGUGACGAACAUGGCAGCCGCGGUGGUGGUGCUGGUGGGGAUCGCGCUGUCAGUUUGGCGCACCAUGAGCAGCAGUUAAUUAGCAGCUCCUGCCACCAUGGCUAAUGAGUGCACUGUUAAUUAUCUGCUGAAGUUAAACUUACUAACUAAUUACACAUGUACUGUACAAUGUAAACAGCAGUGCACUGUUAAUUAUCUGCUGAAGUUAAACUACUCCCUCCGUAAACUAAUAUAAAAGCAUUUAGAUCACUAUUUUAGUGAUCUAAACACUCUUAUAUUAGUUUACAGAGGAAGUACUAACUAAUUGUAGUAUAUGUACAAUGUAAAUAACACAUGCAAUCGUUUAUAUCAGACUUUAUUUGAUCUGCAAGAGACAUAAAGUUUAACACUCCGGCGCUCAGCAUUGCUAUUUACAUAGGCUAGCCGUACGCAUAAAGUUUAGAGAAUACUCCCUCCUCCGUCCUAAAAUAAGUGUCGAUGAUUUGGUACAAAGUUAAUAUAAAGUUUUAGUAAAUUAGCGACACUUAUUUUAGGACGGAGAAAGUAACAUUUAAACUGUCUCGAGGUAAGUUAAGAGUUUUAAAUGCUAAUCAAUUCUGAUUGGCCUUGCUCAUGUUUUAUCUUGCAAAACUAUACAGAUUAUCAUCCAAGAUCAACAAAGAAGAGUUUUGUCUCAAUGUACAAGGGUGAGAAUCACAUUGUGUUGUGUCUUAAUUUUUUUUAGAGUGAAUUCCGGUUUUUACCCCCCAUUUUGACAUUUUUAACACUAAUUAUCCCAUUUAGCGGAGUUUCAUCCGUUUUACCCCAUUUAGCAAAAGUGUUGCCACAAUUUACCUUGUUUUAAAAAAUUUAUGCGUUUUGACCGGCUGACAUGCCACGUCGACAGUUUUUUCCUGCCUAUUUUUUUCCCUACUCAACUCGUUUCCGGCUUGAAGUAUUCUGAUGAGACGACUAUACUUGAUCAGCAUGGCAUAUUACCAUUGAAUAAAUUAUCGGAGAAAUUGUUACUGAUAUAAUUUAAAAUCAUGUAUGUUAUUCUCCAGUUAUCACAUACUGCGUUAAGUAUGCAUGGUUCUACGGAUUAGAGUAAAGUGGUGUGAAUAUAAUACUUUACUAACUCUGAUACACCUACAUAUCUGAAUAUCUAGGUAGCAAAUAAUGUUGACCGGAAGUGUGUUAAUACAUGCAAAAGUGAUAGCAUCUGUUGCUACUUGCUAGUUGUAAAGGAAUUUUGGAUCUUUGUAUCUUACAAUGCAUGCUGAAACAUAUGUAUUUACCUUAUUAGAGUAGAUUAUGAUUUGUUAUUAUUGCAGCUACUAAUUCAUUUUUAUUUUUCUUGCACAAAGCGGAUGGCAACCAAGAUGUGGAGUGUUAGCCAUAUUUUACAUGUCCCUAGAUAAAAGAAUCCAAAGCCAGAGAUGAUUGAGAGAGAAAGCACUAUUCUGCUCCCGAGCUCAAAUGCGCCUACAUAAACAGUAAAAUCGAAAAAAAUAGUUCAAAAAGUUCAAAAAAAUCUGAAAAUUUUUUGUGCUCAACUUUGACGAAUGUUUUGUACGCUUCCAAAAUUUCAGUACGAAACGACAUUCGGGGAAGGCGUGGCAAAAAAACAAAAUCGCCACUCCAAAGUGUGUUCAAAACUAGCAUUUCUGGAACAUCGAUUUUGUUUUUUUUUUGCCACGACUUCCAUGAAUGUUAUUUCGUGCUGAAAUUUUGCAAACAUGCAAAACAUUUGUCGAAGUUUACCGUUUUACUAUUUUUUCGAUUUUACUGUUCAUGAGGGAGCAUUUGAGCUCGGGAGCAUAUACUCCAUGUCCGAUUGAGAGGGAUUUCAUUAGUUAUUUUGAUAUAAAGGAGAAGAUCAAGGAGUUGGGUUCCAACCCUUGGGACGGCGUUUAUUAUAAGAAGAAGGUGGCCAACGGGAACUCCAUGGUUGAGUUAACAAAUGAUGCAGGCAUGAUGAACACGCUAUAGGAAUUUGAUGCUUAUAUGGAAAUCAAUUUGCAUGUUUGAUUGCGGGUGAGCAACGCAAACGAGAAGCCACGGGAGGUGAGCGUGGCGCGUAGCCGACUUGGGCAUUGUGCGUUGGACGUGACGCGAGUGACCGCCAUCGAGCCGAGCCGGUUUGGAGAAGUUGUGCGGCCCGGUUCAGCGGUGAGAAAAAUAGCCAGGAAAAACCACUUACGUGGCAUGCAAGAUGGACCUAACAAUUGUUACCGACCGGUCAGAAUGCUCACAAAAUUUUAAACAGGGUAAAUUAUGUCAAAAAAAUUGUUAAUGGGGUAAAACAGAUGAAAUUUCGCUAAGUGGGGUAAUUAGUGUAAAAAAUGUCAAAAUAGCGGGUAAAAAUCGGAAUUCACUCUUUUUUUUACUUACGACAAAGCUAAAGCUUCAGUUAAUUUGAGAAUGCGGGAGUACCAAAAUGGCAAGGAAAAGACUAGUGGUCGGCCCAGACAUGUACAAGGACAAGAAUCACACUCUGACGUUGUGUUGGGUACACAAAAAAUGCAUUUCGAUACUCAUACACAAAUGUAUGGAUUUGGGGUCACAAUUUAGACAAAAGAACAAACUGAAUCACGUAGUCAAGUAUGUAACAUUCUAGCAGAAAAUUAUAAUUGAAAACCACGGUGGCCAUAACUAGGAACAACGAUCGAAAUUUUGAGCCUAAUGAACCAAACCAAGAGGAACAUGAAACUCUACGAAAAGCCAUCCCGAGCAACACAGCAGCAUCAGCUAUUUUUUAUGCACGACAAAUGUACCAAAUAGGCACAAAUCACAAGAACAUCACUAAAUAGGAUGCAUGUCCCCAACAAGAACAAAUUAAACUUGAAUAGGAAUCAACCCCUACUCACUCGCGAAGCCACGUUGAGAGGAGUGAGGUCAAUUGACUACACAGGUUUUUGGCAAAUCCUUUGUACACAAGUAGAAAUCAUGUAAUUUUCUAUAUAAAAUUGGUGAGAACACAUGUAUUUGGCAUCACAGAUUUGAAAUGACAUCACAAACUUUUGAUCCUGGCACCGCCACUACCCCAACUGGCACAAAUGAUCUGCAACUGCAACAUCGCUUAUAUUUCCCUGGUUCCAGCUCCAAACAGUUGGAGAAACAUGGUUGGACUAGUUGUGAACUAACAUGGACCGGCCUAUACUGUUGUAAACAAACUCCAAAAUUAGUCGUUAACUUAUUCCUGCUAAUUUCAUUGGUUGUUGUCUUCAGAUGAGCAGGUUCCACCUCCAGCCAAUGCCGAUGCCAAUGCCACUUCCAGUUGCCUAAAUUUUUGGCAAGUGAUCAACAUAAACGCAUUUGUUAGAGUUAACCGCAACAUGGAAACAAUGAAAUAAAAAUGCAAUGGUACCUCUUCGUGAUGAGCCUUGAGCUUCCACUCGGCGUUGUUGUCAAGGAUUUGGACUUGGGAUGGGUUCCUAUUGCAGUUGCAGAUGCAGCUACGGGUUUGGAUGCUCCACCUCCAACCAUAGUUGAUAGUCUAUACACCAUCAAGAAAUUAGGGGGAUAAAAUAAAUGCAAUACUGCAAGCAAUGAUGUAAAUGUUAUAAUAAUGAUAAAACCUUCUGAUAAUAGGCUCUAGGGUUUCAUUCCCUAGGGUAGGCAAGGGAGCAGGUGAAUGCACAACUCUAUCCGAUAUACUUGCUGGUGUGGCUCCCAGAUUAUCCUUGCUUGGACCUACUACAUGACAAUGCCAUGAGACAGCCAACAUAAAACUAUAAUGAUGCAAUAAUGUAGGGGAAAACUAUCUAACCUUCUUUGCUCCCAAAAGUAAAUCCGCCUCUGCGUGGAUGCAAGACGCCCGUAUGAGAAGAGCACCUCUUACAUGUAGUGUCAACAUCAUAAUCAUCUGAAGACAGAUCGAAGACAUAUCAGAUUCAUUCAUAUAUAGUUACUGAAGACUAGUGAAUAACUUUUUCUUGAUGGCAUACAAACGAGAAGUGUGUACCAAGUGUGAUACAGGCUGUCACAUCGUAAGUCCUUUGUCGAGUACGGUUGAGCUCAAGGAAAAAAAUUGUUGCGCCCCUUACGAAGGGAAGUCUCUCUUAGAGCCCACAAGAUUUCCAUGGUACCAGAAGCCACUCUCCGACAUUAUAGGAGAUAAGGUCAUAUUGCUUGGAAUCAAGUCAUACUCAGCAUCCUGGUAAAAUGAAAUUAUUGAUUAGUAAUAAGAAUCUACAAGAUAGAGUAGGAAGUUAAACAUGGGACCUGAUCCCAAUUUAUUUCAGCUAUAAAUUCUCAUUGAUAGGCAAGCAAGGCCCAUUUUAGUUGAUAGGCAAUGCUCAUUUAAUUUCGUGGUAAAAUGAAAGAAUGUCAAUGAUGGAAACAAUUCAUCACCAUGUUUUGAGCUCUCCGAUACUCCAUGGCAACUCUCCAGAAGGCCCUUUCUCUCUCGAGCAAAAUCUCCGGAUCAACAGGCCUAAAAUUAAGAAAGAAAAGAAAAAUUACACUUGGCCAUGAUUAGUCGGAUUAAGAUAAGGAUCUAAAGAAAAGGUCAUCUAAUAAGCAAUGUAUUCCGCGACACUAGCUGAAUUGCAAGUACGCCCAGAGAUUAUUCGCACAGUCUGGAGCUAGAACGCAUGACGCGGGAGGACAACGGUCGACCAAGACGGAUGAUGCCUCAAAAUAGGACAAUUUUUUACUUUAAAGUACGCGGUAAAAAUAUUAAAGUAUACACCAGAUACUUCCUCCGUUUUAAAAUAGGCGACUGUUAGGCGCCCGCGCACAGGCCGAAAAUUUCGGCCGGUCGGCCCCCAGCCGUAGGAUUAGGCCACCUCGAACCGUUAAUUUCCCCUAAUCAUCUUCUCCCCUUCGCAUCUGGCUCUGCGUUGACCAGCAACUCCCAUCUAGGGGGACUCCGCGCUCGCCGCUGCAGGUGCCCAUCCUUGGCUGCCCGUGCAUGCCGGCCAACAGCGCAGCCGUGCUCGCCGGCCAUCCACGGUAGCAAAAAUCAAAGCUAGAUGUAGCAAAAAAAAUUGUUGGUUUCAGCAAAAAGAUGGAUCCAGCAAAAAAUCAAAGAGACGAGUUGGUAGCAAAAUUCAAAGGCAGUGACAACAAAAAAUAAUGACAGUGGUAGCAAAAAAAUUGGAAGCGGUUUCAGCAAAAAGAGAUGGAUCCAGCAAAAAAGCAAAAAUUAAAAAGACAGUAGUAGCAAAGAACAUCUCUAUGGUGGGAGCAAAAAAUAUAUACGGUGGUAGCAAAAUUUGAAGCUGGUUCCAGCAGAAAACACCCUCAAUUACAGAUCGUAAAAAAAUUACUGACUCCAGCAAAACAAAAACACACUUGUAGCAAAAAUUGCCGCCGAUUGUAGCUUCCAUUGAGGCCGGUUCCAGCAUCUCGUCCGCCCACUUGGUCUGGAGCUUGUACUACAGCGUGGUAGCAGCAGCGGGUGGUCGUCGUCGGCAGCAUCAGCACCGGUGCGGUCCGGGGGGGUCCCGGAGGAGCAAGGACUCGAUGAACCCUCGAGGGCAGAAAAAGAGGGAGUGGGUGCUGCUUGUGGCGCUGGGACUGACGUGCUGCCAUGGCGGAGGAGCACUAGCUACUUGACGAGCUGCCAUGGCCGGCCGGCACAGCUUGUCGCCGGUAGGGGAGAGCAAGCGCCUAUAGAUGGAGGGAGAGGGGGAGAACGGAGCUAGUGGACCAGAGUAGAUGUGUUCGUUCACGAGGAAGAAAUGAGUGGAUCUCAUCGGCCCUGAAGAGAUAAGGUAAAGGGGAUUUGGGUCAUUCGAUGCAGGGCCCACCUGCAGACGAGCGUGUGCGUGAGUGAGCGGUGCGAACCGGCGAAAAACUUAGCCGGUCGACCGCGUAUAAACGUUUCCCUUUAAAGUAAGUGUCGGUGGUUUGGUACAAUUUGAGAAUAAUAGUGCUUACCCGUCUCCGCAGUCGAUUUUGUCGCAGUUGCUCCCGCGGUUGAACAGAAGGCGGGCGUCGAUGGUCCACUUUCUACCAAACAUUUCGCAAGGCUGUCCCAGCCUCCGCAUGAGUUUCACUUGUCUUGUGCGGCCUCGAUCUCUGCCCGCUCCUCCUCCUCCUCGUCCAGCUUCUUCUGUUCCUCAUUCUCCUGCUUCCGUUCGUCCGACUCCAUGGAAUUCUGCAAGCAUGCGUGCACACGCGGGUAGAGUGCAGAACCCUGUCAGGUAGUAGUACAAAGAAGAACAGCGAAUGGCGUGCUAAUUAGAAGAAUUGGGGCCGAAUUGGUCGACCUGCUGCUCUGCUGUCGCGCGGGCAGCGGCCGGCGGGUUCUGGAGCUCCUGGCUCAACUCCGACCGGAUGCUGGCAGGCUCUCAGCCAUUCAUCACGUGUCGCGCUCUAAGUGCUCUUUCCGAAUUUUGUUUUUUGUUUUUCCGCACGCGUUUUCGGCUUUUUAAAUUGUUUUUUUUUUUCGACGUUUAGGUUUUCCACCGGUCUUCCUUAGCUUUUCAACUAAAAAAAUUGAAUUUUUGCACGAAAAAACAUGUUUUUUUUUUCCCUUUCGCGAGAGUCACAGUUUUGCUUCCGCGAGAGUCACGGUUGUGCUUUCGCGAGAGUCACGGUCGUGCCUCUCGAAAACGAAAAAAAAACACGUUGUCUUUUUUUUUCACGAGAGUCACGGUUUUGCUUCCGUGAGAGGCACGGGUGUGCUUUCGCGAGAGUCACGGCCGUGCCUCUCGGAAACGGAAAAAAGUGUGUUUUCUGCUUUAUUUCUUUCGCGAGAGUCACGGUUUUGCUUCCGCGAGAGGCACGGUUGUGCUUUCGCGAGAGUCACGGCCGUGCCUCUUGGAAAGGGAAAAAAACGUGUUUUCUGUUUUUUUUUCCUUUCGCGAGAGUCACGGUUUUGCUUCCGCAAGAGGCACGGUUGUACUUUCACGAGAGUCACAGCCGUGCCUCCUCGGAAACGGAAAAAAACGCGUUUUCUCUUUUUUUCCUUCCACGAGAGGCACGGUUGUGAUUUCGUGAGAGGCAUGGGCGUGCCUCUUUCAGAAAGGGAAAUCCAUGCUCCCGGUUCGAUUUUUUCGUCCGGUUUUUUGUGAAAAAAAAGUUCGUCAACACCUAUCAACAUGGAAUCUAGUUUUGAAGAUCUCGACGCGAGGAAUCUAACGGUGAAAAAUCGGCCCAGUCGCGCCCCCAGGUCCUUGUUUAUCGCCAGUUUGAGCCGAAAUAACAGCCGGUGAACCCGAGCCGAACCCAAGCCCCCGCGGGUCGCCUGGGAGCGCCGGCCGAAGCGAAAAGGCGCGUGGGUCCGCUCUGUCGGCGAGAGACGGCCCUUUUUCCCGCCGAUCCCCCGCUCCCUCCCCCCCCCCCACUUUCCCUCCAUUCUCCCCUUCUGUCCCUCUUCUGUCGCCAUUAUCCUUCCUCUCCCCUUCGUCCGGCUGCCAUGCGGACGAAGAAGUAUACGGCCCCUCGCGCCAUUGCCGCCGCCGACGCCACCCAGCCGAAGCAGAGCAAGCCGAGGGUGCCGCCGGCAAAACCACCGGGCAUGUCGAACGCCGACUGGAAGGCGGAGGUUCAGCGUCGGGAAGCUGUCACCACCGACCGGCGGAACAGGCUCAAUGCCAAGAGGACCCGGGACAGGCCGGCGGCGGCGGAGCGGGCGGAGGCGUCCCGCGCGGCGAAGCAGGCAGAGGCCUCUCACGCGGAGAUGAUGAAUCCACCCGGUGGCCACGGCCCGCAAGCCUAGAGCCAGCAGAGCCUCGGGUCGCCGGUCGGCUUCUUGCCGUCGCCACAGCCCCGAGGGUGCGUGCCCUCGCCUGGCUACGCUGACGGCGACGCCCACGGCAGGUUCAACCCCAACAUCACCUUUCCGCAUGGCCACCCCGCCCAGCGCACGCCCUCACCCGCGUUCGCCGGCGUCCAGUAUCUUCCGUACACCUACUCGCUGCCGGCUUACGCCGCCUCCCCGACGCCGUCGCUGCGCCGUGGCGCCCUGCACUUCUCGCAAGCCUCGUCGUCACAUCUCGGCAACCACGACGUGAUGGAAGCCGACAUGGACGACAUCAUCACGAGAGGCUCGGUCGCCGCCGCCGCCUCCCCCGGGUUCCAUGCGCAAGACGAUAUAAUGGACCUCACUGGCGACAUGGAUGACGAGCUCGACUACGGCGAGGAGGAGGAGGAGGAAGAGGGGGGGGAGGAGCCUGCGCCUGCUCCGACGAGGAAGGGGAACAAGAAGAAGCGGGCGGCCAGGGCCGGCGAGACGCUUGUCAAGUGGGCGUCCAAAGAGGACGAGUGCCUCGCCGAAGCAUGGAAGACCGUCUGCCUCGACCCGAUCACCGGCACGAUCCAGAACGCUGAGAUGUACUAGGAGCGCAUCAAGUCAGAGUUCGAUGAGUGCAAGUUGGUCGGCUCCUACUUCACCGGCAUCCACAUGCAGCGCGGCUUGAAGGCCAUGGCGAACCAUUGGGCGCUCAUCCAAACGGCCUGCAACAAAUGGCAUGGAAUCAUCGAGGAGGUCACGGCUCACCCGGAAAGCGGCACCAACAUCGAGGGUCAGGUAUGCACAGACGGCGGUUCUCGCUCUUUUUCGCCGUGUGCGUCGUCGCCGACACUUGUUCUUCGGCGUAGAUGGUUCGGAUGUUCGCCAUGUACCGCCAGGACAGCAGCACCGACCAAGAGUUCAAGUACCUCCACGUGUUCUCUCGGAUCGAGAAGUGCGAGAAGUGGGCGGAUGUCCGGCGCACCCUCGCCAAGGCCAAGGAGACUUACAAGCCGGACGUGCCGAUGCCGGGCGCGGCGGACGGGCGCCCAGACGGCAACAAACGAGCCAAGACGGCGAAGGACGCCGCGCCGUCUGCCGCGCGGCUGCAAGCGUCCAUCGAGCAGUGCAUCGCCGACGCCAAGAACCACGUCGCCUAGAGGGAAGAGAAAUCUGAGGCGCGGUGGUCGGCGUUGAUGACGAAUAGCGCCGUCAAGCUCGACCUACUCCGGACCAACGUCGCCGCGAAGAAGAGGAACACCAACCUGGCAUUCCUGAUGGGGGCGGACAUGUCGACGAUGGACGAGCAGGUCAAGGCGUGGUACCUGGCCUCAUCUUGAACCAGAUGUUGUCGACGACCGCGCCAACUCCCACGCCGACCCCAAUGCCGCCGCCAAGCCCGAGCGAUGAUGCCUCUACGACGCCCAGCAUAGAAGCCGACGCCGACCAUCCCGCGCAUGCCGACUCCCGCCAGUCCGACGCCGGAUGAUGACAACGCCGCCGUUUGAUGCAUUGCCUACGCGUCCCUCCUUUUGCUGAACUUUCGAGUGAUUGAUCGCCGAAUUGUGGCAUGGUGAUCGCCGGACUUGUGGCGUUUUUUGGGUAGCGGGAAAUGUCAAGUUUGAAAUUAUACCGUCUUGGGGCCGACACCUGAGGGCGUGGCUGGGAACUAGAUCGCCUCCAGGGCUGAAAAAGCGUCGACCGGUGCGCUGGGGGCCGAACGAGUGGAGAUGCUCUUAGGCCACAUAGGCUCAACCAGCGCUUAAAAAUAAUUGUCUUAGCGGGCGUGUCUAUUACUAUGCCUCCCUUACAGCGGCCUGUUCUAAAUUUACAUAAACCUUGAAAAAAUAUGCAUACUAGUACUCCCUCUGUUCACUAUUGUAAGAGCAUCUCGAUCCCGCAUCCCGGCGCUUGAAAAAAUAUGCAGACCCCGCAUCCCGCCCCGACUCGUAAAAUAACCGCCAAAAUACGGGUCGGCGCGGAAAAGCCUGCCCGAUCACACACCACAAACGCGUCCGACCCGUAAAAAAAUUUGCGGGGCGCGGCAAAAGAUCUCCCCCGACCUCUAGAUUCACGGGGUGGGAGGACGACCCGAGCUCGGCCCCUAUCCGCAGCAAGAUUUGGCGGGAGGGACAUUUCUGCGCGGCCGUUCCCGCUCCCCCACCCUCUGCCACCAUUGCCCCCGCCACCUCCUACUCCGGUGCAUCUUCCCCGAUAGUCCUUCGCCGCCAUGGAUGACUCCCUGCCGUCCCCCGUCACGGUCGAGGUCAUGCACGCUCAAUCCCCUCGAGCGAAUCUCGUCGCCAGCCAUGUUGGCCCCGCCGUCGCCCAAGGCACCACUGCGCCUGCCCACAAGCGGCAGGGCAACAUGGUCGUGCAGGGCGGGGAUCCGGCUGCCCUCGCCGGGAAGGCCCGUGCUCCGGGCGCCAACGCCGCUGCGCGAUCUCGGCCGGCGACGGAGAAGGCCGGCAAGGUCUCGGGCGUAAAGCGGAAGAAGAUUCCGGCUACAAAGAAGCCGGCUCCUUCAUCCACUCCCUCCGCCCCGGAAAGAGGUUCCCCGGCGAUGCCGCUCAACGGUGCUGCUUCCACCGCAAGCGAGGUGUUUGACGAAAUGGCCGGAAGGUAUGCCUCUUUGGUCAUGGCAAUUUUCUUUGCUUUUCGCCAUUUGCAAAAGCUCGUGACUUGUUGUCGUUCACUAUAGCGGUGGUUCGAACAAUGCAACUGUCGAGUUCGUGUGAACUUGUUGGACACCAACAUCGUUGACAUCGAUCAAGCCCCGUUCGCUGCAUACGAUUACAAUGAAACAGAGGGCGGCGUGGAUGAUCACGGUGGUGAAGAAGAAGUGGAGGAGAUAGAUGAGGGGGUGUAUGAGCAAUCGCAAACAAGAAAAGGCCAGAGAUCGAAGAACUACACGAUCUUGAAAGAUCAAAUCUUGAUCAAGGCAUGGAAUGCGGUGUCUCUUGAUGCAUGCGCGGGUACUUCUCAAACCGCCAAGAGGUAUUAACAAAGGAUCGAAGAUCAAUACUUCCGCAUGAUGGCAAAGUAUCCCAAUAGGACUGCGCAAAGCGGCCAUUGAGGAGAGAAGAGCACGUGCCGCUGAAAACAAAGCCAUGUCCAAGUUGCUUGCCGAAGAGAACAAGAUCAUGACAAUGAACCGCAAUGACAUGGACGACCUCACAAAAGAAUGGCAUGAUAUGGCAAGAAGAGAAAUCUUGAAGAGGAGAAUGGUUGCGUCGGCCAGUGCGUGUUACAGUGCCGGAGAUGUUUUCUCAGCGGGGUCUGGAACCAAUGUCGCCGAUGUUGGGGAACGUAGUAAUUUCAAAAAAAAUCCUACGCACACGCAAGAUCAUGGUGAUGCAUAGCAACGAGAGGGGAGAGUGUUGUCCACGUACCCUCGUAGACCGAAAGCGGAAGCGUUAGCACAACGCGGUUGAUGUAGUCGUACGUCUUCAUGGUCCGACCGAUCAAGUACCGAACACAUGGCACCUCCGAGUUCAGCACACGUUCAACUCGAUGACGUCCCUCGAACUCCGAUCCAGCCGAGCUUUGAGGGAGAGUUCCGUCAGCACAACGGCGUGGUGACGAUGAUGAUGUUCUACCGACGCAGGGCUUCGCCUAAGCACCGCUACGAUAUGAACGAGGUGGAUUAUGGUGGAAGGGGCACCGCACACGGCUAAGAGAUCCAAGGGAUCAAUUGUUGUGUCUAUGGGGUGCCCCCCUGCCCCCGUAUAUAAAGGAGCAAGGGAGGAGGAGGCCGGCCCUAGGAGGGGCGCGCCAAGGGAGUAGGAUUCCUACUCCUAGUUGGAGUAUGUUCCUUCCUUUCCUAGUCCAACUAGGAGAAGGGGGGAACGGGGGAAGAGGAGAAGGAAGGGAGAGGGGGUCGCGCCCCAAACCCCUUGUCCAAUUCGGACUGGGCUUGGGAGGGGGGCGCGCCACCUCCUGGCUGCUGCCUCUCCUUCCCACUAAGGCCCAUUAAGGCCCAAUACUUCUUUCCCGUAUUCCCGUAACUCCCUAGUACUCCGAAAAAUACCCAAAUCACUCGGAACCUUUCCGAUGUCCGAAUAUAGUCGUCCAAUAUAUCGAUCUUUACGUCUCGAUCAUUUCGAGACUCCUCGUCAUGUCCCCGAUCUCAUCCGGGACUCAGAACUACCUUCGGUACAUCAAAACACAUAAACUCGUAAUAUAACCGUCAUCGAACUUUAAGCGUGCGGACCCUACGGGUUCGAGAACUAUGUAGACAUGACCGAGACACGUCUCCGAUCAAUAACCAAUAACGGAACCUGGAUGCUCAUAUUGGCUCCCACAUAUUCUACGAAGAUCUUUAUCGGUCAGACCGCAUAACAACAUACGUUGUUCCCUUUGUCAUCGGUAUGUUACUUGCCCGAGAUUCGAUCGUCGGUAUCUCAAUACCUAGUUCAAUCUCGUUACCGGCAAGUCUCUUUACUCGUUCUGUAAUACAUCAUCCGCAACUAACUCAUUACUUGCAAUGCUUGCAAGGCUUAAGUGAUGUGCAUUACCGAGUGGGCCCAGAGAUACCUCUCCGACAAUUGGAGUGACAAAUCCUAAUCUCGAAAUACGCCAACCCAACAAGUACCUUCGGAGACACCUGUAGAGCACCUUUAUAAUCACCCAGUUACGUUGUGACGUUUGGUAGCACACAAAGUGUUCCUCCGGUAAACGGGAGUUGCAUAAUCUCAUAGUCAUAAGAACAUGUAUAAGUCAUGAAGAAAGCAAUAGCAACAUACUAAACGAUCAAGUGCUAAGCUAACGGAAUGGGUCAAGUAAGUCAUAUCAUUCUCCUAAUGAUGUGAUCCCGUUAAUCAAAUGACAACUCAUGUCUAUGGCUAGGAAACUCAACCAUAUUUGAUUAACGAGCUAGUCAAGUAGAGGCAUACUAGUGACACUAUGUUUGUCUAUGUAUUCACACAUGUAUCAAGUUUCCGGUUAAUACAAUUCUAGCAUGAAUAAUAAACAUUUAUCAUGAAAUAAGGAAAUAAAUAAUAACUUUAUUAUUGCCUCUAGGGCAUAUUUCCUUCAGUCUCCCACUUGCACUAGAGUCAGUAAUCUAGUUCACAUCGCCAUAUGAUUUAACAUCAAUAGUUCACAUCACCAUGUGAUUAACACCCAUAGUUCACAUCGUCAUGUGACCAACACCCAAAGGGUUUACUAGAGUCAAUAAUCUAGUUCACAUCGCUAUGUGAUUAACACCCAAAGAGUACUAAGGUGUGAUCAUGUUUUGCUUGUGAGAUAAUUUUAGUCAACGGGUCUGUCACAUUCAGAUCCGUAAGUAUUUUGCAAAUUUCUAUGUCUACAAUGCUCUGCACGGAGCUACUCUAGCUAAUUGCUCCCACUUUCAAUAUGUAUCUAGACCGAGACUUAGAGUCAUCUAGAUUAGUGUCAAAACUUGCAUCGACGUAACCCUUUACGACGAACCUUUUGUCACUUCCAUAAUCGAGAAACAUAUCCUUAUUCUACUAAGGAUAAUUUUGACCGUUGUCAAGUGAUCUACUCCUAGAUCACUAUUGUACUCCCUUGCCAAAAUCAGUGUAGGGUAUACAAUAGAUCUGGUACACAGCAUGGCAUACUUUAUAGAACCUAUGGCCGAGGCAUAGGGAAUGACUUUCAUUCUCUUUCUAUCUUCUGCCGUGGUCAGGCUUUGAGUCUUACUCAAUUUCACACCUUGUAACACAGGGAAGAAACUCUUUCUUUGACUGUUCCAUUUUGAACUACUUCAAAAUCUUGUCAAGGUAUGUACUCAUUGAAAAAACUUAUCAAGCGUCUUGAUCUAUCUCUAUAGAUCUUGCUGCUCAAUAUGUAAGCAGCUUCACCGAGGUCCUUCUUUGAAAAACUCCUUUCAAAUACUCCUUUAUGCUUUGCAGAAUAAUUCUACAUUAUUUCCGAUCAACAAUAUGUCAUUCACAUAUACUUAUCAGAAAUGCUGUAGUGCUCCCACUCAUUUUCUUGUAAAUACAGGCUUCAUUGCAAGUCUGUAUAAAACUAUAUGCUUUGAUCAACUUAUCAAAGCGUAUAUUCCAACUCCGAGAUGCUUGCACCCGUCCAUAGAUGGAUCGCUGGAGCUUGCAUAUUUUGUUAGCACCUUUAGGAUUGACAAAACCUUUUGGUUGCAUCAUACACAACUCUUCUUUAAGAAAUCCAUUAAGGAAUGUAGUUUCGACAUCCAUUUGCCAGAUUUCAUAAAAUGUGGCAAUUUGCUAACAUGAUUCGGGCAGACUUAAGCAUCACUACGAGUUAGAAAAUCUCAUCGUAGUCAACACCUUGAACUUUGUCAAAAACCUUUUUCCGACAAGUCUAGCUUUGUAGAUAGUAACACUACUAUCAGCGUCCGUCUUCCUCUUGAAGAUCCAUUUAUUUUCUAUGGCUUGCCGAUCACCGGGCAAGUCAACCAAAGUCCACACUUUGUUCUCAUACAUGGAUCCCAUCUCAGAUUUCAUGGCCUCAAGCCAUUUUGCGGAAUCUGGGCUCAUCAUCGCUUCCUCAUAGUUCGUAGGUUCGUCAUGGUCAAGUAACAUGGCCUCCAGAACUGGAUUACCGUACCACUCUGGUGCGGAUUUCAUUCUGGUUGACCUACGAGGUUCGGUAGUAACUUGAUCUGAAGUUACAUGAUCAUCAUCAUCAGCUUCCUCACUAAUUGGUGUAGGAGUCACAGGAACAGAUUUCUGUGAUGAACUACUUUCCAAUAAGGGAGCAGGUACAGUUACCUCAUCAAGUUCUACUUUCCUCCCACUCACUUCUUUCGAGAGAAACUCCUUCUAUAGAAAGGAUCCAUUCUUAGCAAUGAAUGUCUUGCCUUCGGAUCUGUGAUAGAAGGUGUACCCAACAGUCUCCUUUGGGUAUCCUAUGAAGACAUAUUUCUCCGAUUUGGGUUUGAGCUUAUCAGGAUGAAACUUUUUCAUAUAAGCAUCACAACCCCAAACUUUAAGAAACGACAACUUCGGUUUCUUGCCAAACCACAGUUCAUAUUGUGUCGUCUCAACGGACUUAGACGGUGCCCUUUUUAACGUGGAUGCAGCUGUUUUUAAUGCAUAACCCCAAAACGAUAGUGGUAAAUCGGUAAGAGACAUCAUAGAUUGCACCAUAUCUAAUAAAGUACGGUUACGAUGUUCGGACACACCAUUACACUGUGGUGUUCCAGGUGGCGUGAGCAGUGAAACUAUUUCACAUUGUUUUAACUCAAGACCAAACUCGUAACUCAAAUACUCUUCUCCACGAUCAGAUCGUAGAAACUUUAUUUUCCUGUUACGAUGAUUUUCCACUUCACUCUGAAAUUAUAUGAACUUUUCAAAUGUUUCAGACUUCUGUUUCAUUAAGUAGAUAUACCCAUAUAAGCUCAAAUCAUCUGUGAAGGUCAGAAAAUAAUGAUACCCGCUACGAGCCUCAAUAUUCAUCGGACCACAUACAUCAGUAUGUAUGAUUUCCAACAAAUCUGUUGCUUGCUCCAUUGUUCCGGAGAACGGCGUUUUAGUCAUCUUCCCAAGAGGCAUGGUUCGCAAGCAUCAAGUGAUUCAUAAUCAAGUGAUUCAAAAAUCCCAUCAGCAUGGAGUUUCUUCAUGCGCUUUACACCAAUAUGAUCUAAACGGCAGUGCCACAAAUAAGUUGCACUAUCAUUAUUAACUUUGCAUCUUUUGGCUUCAAUAUUAUGAAUAUGUGUAUCACUAUGAUCGAGAUCCAACAAACCAUUUUCAUUGGGUGUAUGACCAUAGAAGGUUUUAUUCAUGUAAAUAGAACAACAAUUAUUCUCUAACUUAAAUGAAUAACCGUAUUGCAAUAAACAUGAUCAAAUCAUAUUCAUGCUCAACGCAAACACCAAAUAACACUUAUUUAGGUUCAACACUAAUCCCGAAAGUGUAGGGAGCGUGCGAUGAUGAUCAUAUCAAUCUUGAAACCACUUCCAACACACAUCGUCACUUCACCCUUUACUAGUCUAUGUUCAUUCCGCAACUCCUGUUCCGAGUUACUACUCUUAGUAACUGAACCAGUAUCAAAUACCGAGGGGUUGCUACGAACACUGGUAAAAUACACAUCAAUAAUCUGUAUAUCAAAUAUACCUUUGUUCACUUUGCCAUCCUUCUUAUCCGCCAAAUACUUGGGGCAGUUCCGCUUCUAGUGACCAGUCCCUUUGCAGUAGAAGCACUUAGUCUCAGGCUUAGGACCAGACUUGGGCUUCUUCACUUGAGCAGCAACUUGCUUGCCGUUCUUCUUGAAGUUCCCCUUCUUCACUUUGCCGUUUUCUUGAAACUAGUGGUCUCGUCAACCAUCAACACUUGAUAUUUUUCUUGAUUUCUACCUUCGUCGAUUUCAGCAUCACGAAGAGCUUGGGAAUUGUUUCCGUUAUCCCUUACAUAUUAUAGUUCAUCACGAAGUUCUACUAACUUGGUGAUGGUGACUAGAGAAUUCUGCCAAUCACUAUCUUAUCUGGAAGAUUAACUCCCACCUGAUUCAAGCGAUUAUAGUACCCAGACAAUCUGAGCACAUGCUUACUGCUUGAGCUAUUCUCCUCCAUCUUUUAGCUAUAGAACUUGUUGCAGACUUCAUAUCUCUCAACUCGGGUAUUUGCUUGAAAUAUUAACUUCAACUUCUGGAACAUCUCAUAUGGUCCAUGACGUUCAAAACGUCUUUGAAGUCCCGAUUCUAAGCCGUUAAGCAUGGUGCACUAAACUAUCAAGUAGUCAUCAUAUUGAGCUAGCCAAAUGUUCAUAACGUCUGCAUUUGCUCCUGCAAUAGGUCUGUCACCUAGCGGUGCAUCAAGGACGUAAUUCUUCUGUGCAGCAAUGAGGAUAAACCUUAGAUCACGGACCCAGUCCGCAUCAUUGCUACUAUCAUCUUUCAACUUAGUUUUCUCUAGGAACGUACAUAAAACAUAGGGAAGCAACAACGCGAGCUAUUGAUCUACAACAUAGAUAUACUAAUACUACCAGGACUAAGUUCAUGAUAAAUUAAAGUUCAAUUAAUCAUAUUACUUAAGAACUCCCACUUAGAUAGAAAUCCCUCUAAUCCUCUAAGUGAUCACGUGAUCCAAAUCAACUAAACCAUGUCCGAUCAUCACGUGAGAUGGAGUAGUUUCAAUGGUGAACAUCACAAUGUUGAUCAUAUCUACUAUAUGAUUCACGCUCGACCUUUCGGUCUCAGUGUUCCGAGGCCAUAUCUGUUAUAUGCUAGGCUCGUCAAGUUUAACCUGAGUAUUCCGCGUGUGCAACUGUUUUGCACCUGUUGUAUUUGAACAUAGAGCCUAUCACACCCGAUCAUCAUGUGGUGUCUCAGCACGAAGAACUUUCGCAAUGGUGCAUACUCAGGGAGAACACUUAUAACUUGAUAAUUUAGUGAGAGAUCAUCUUAUAAAGCUACCGCCGAACUAAGCAAAAUAAGAUGUAUAAAAGAUAAACAUCACAUGCAAUCAUAAUAUGUGACAUGAUAUGGCCAUCAUCAUCUUGUGCCUUUGAUCUCCAUCUCCAAAGCAUCGUCAUGAUCUCCAUCGUCACCGGCAUGACACCAUGAUCUCCAUCAUCUUGAUCUAUAUCAAUGUGUCGUCACAUGGUCGUCUCGCCAACUAUUGCUCUUGCAACUAUUGCUAUCGCAUAGCGAUAAAGUAAAGCAAUUAUGUGGCACUUGCAUCUUAUGCAAUAAAGAGACAACCAUAAGGCUUCUGCCAGUUGCCGAUAACUUCAACAAAACAUGAUCAUCUCAUACAACAAAAUAUAGCAUCAUGUCUUGACCAUAUCACAUCACAACAUGCCCUGCAAAAACAAGUUAGACGUCCUCUACUUUAUUGUUGCAAGUUUUACGUGGCGGCUACGAGCUGAGCAAGAACCGUUCUUACCUACGCAUCAAAACCACAACGAUAGUUUGUCAAGUUGGUGUUGUUUUAACCUUCGCAAGGACCGGGCGUAGCCACACUCAGUUCAACUAAAGUUGGAGAAACUGACACCCGCUACUCACCUGUGUGCAUAGCACGGCGGUAAAACCCGUAAGCGUACGCAUAAUGUCGGUCCGGGCCGCUUCAUCCAACAAUACCGCCGAACCAAAGUGUGACAUGCUGGUAAGCAGUAUGACUUAUAUCGCCCACAACUCACUUGUGUUCUACUCGUGCAUAUUACAUCAACUCAUAAAACCUGGCUCGGAUGCCACUGUUGAGGAACGUAGUAAUUUCAAAAAAAUUCCUACACACACGCAAGAUCAUGGUGAUGCAUAGCAACAAGAGGGGAGAGUGUUGUCCACGUACCCUCGUAGACCAAAAGCGGAAGCGUUAGCACAACGCGGUUGAUGUAGUCGUACGUCUUCAUGAUCCAACCGAUCAAGUACCGAACGCACGGCACCUCCGAGUUCAGCACACAUUCAACUCGAUGACGUCCCUCAAACUCCAAUCCAGCCGAGCUUUGAGGGAGAGUUCCGUCAGCACGACGGCGUGGUGACGAUGAUGAUGUUCUACCGACGCAGGGCUUCGCCUAAGCACCGCUACGAUAUAACCGAGGUGGAUUAUGGUGGAAGGGGCACCGCACACGGCUAAGAGAUCCAAGGGAUCAAUUGUUGUGUAUAUGGGGUGCCCCCUGCCCCCGUAUAUAAAGGAGCAAGGGAGGAGGAGGCCGGCCCUAGGAGGGGCGCGCCAAGGGAGUAGGAUUCCUACUCCUAGUUGGAGUAUGUUCCUUCCUUUCCUAGUCCAACUAGGAGAAGGGGGGAACGGGGGAAGAGGAGAAGGAAGGGAGAGGGGGUCGCGCCCCAAACCCCUUGUCCAAUUCGGACUGGGCUUGGGAGGGGGGCGCGCCACCUCCUGGCUGCUGCCUCUCCUUCCCACUAAGGCCCAUUAAGGCCCAAUACUUCUUUCCCGUAUUCCCGUAACUCCCUAGUACUCCGAAAAAUACCCAAAUCACUCGGAACCUUUCCGAUGUCCGAAUAUAGUCGUCCAAUAUAUCGAUCUUUACGUCUCGAUCAUUUCGAGACUCCUCGUCAUGUCCCCGAUCUCAUCCGGGACUCAGAACUACCUUCGGUACAUCAAAACACAUAAACUCGUAAUAUAACCGUCAUCGAACUUUAAGCGUGCGGACCCUACGGGUUCGAGAACUAUGUAGACAUGACCGAGACACGUCUCCGAUCAAUAACCAAUAACGGAACCUGGAUGCUCAUAUUGGCUCCCACAUAUUCUACGAAGAUCUUUAUCGGUCAGACCGCAUAACAACAUACGUUGUUCCCUUUGUCAUCGGUAUGUUACUUGCCCGAGAUUCGAUCGUCGGUAUCUCAAUACCUAGUUCAAUCUCGUUACCGGCAAGUCUCUUUACUCGUUCUGUAAUACAUCAUCCGCAACUAACUCAUUACUUGCAAUGCUUGCAAGGCUUAAGUGAUGUGCAUUACCGAGUGGGCCCAGAGAUACCUCUCCGACAAUUGGAGUGACAAAUCCUAAUCUCGAAAUACGCCAACCCAACAAGUACCUUCGGAGACACCUGUAGAGCACCUUUAUAAUCACCCAGUUACGUUGUGACGUUUGGUAGCACACAAAGUGUUCCUCCGGUAAACGGGAGUUGCAUAAUCUCAUAGUCAUAAGAACAUGUAUAAGUCAUGAAGAAAGCAAUAGCAACAUACUAAACGAUCAAGUGCUAAGCUAACGGAAUGGGUCAAGUAAGUCAUAUCAUUCUCCUAAUGAUGUGAUCCCGUUAAUCAAAUGACAACUCAUGUCUAUGGCUAGGAAACUCAACCAUAUUUGAUUAACGAGCUAGUCAAGUAGAGGCAUACUAGUGACACUAUGUUUGUCUAUGUAUUCACACAUGUAUCAAGUUUCCGGUUAAUACAAUUCUAGCAUGAAUAAUAAACAUUUAUCAUGAAAUAAGGAAAUAAAUAAUAACUUUAUUAUUGCCUCUAGGACAUAUUUCCUUCAGCCGAUGCGUUCAGUGCACCAGUCGAUGAUUUCGGUGCGGGAGUUGGAACAAGCGCCGGAGGUGGAUUCGGUGGUUUCGAUGAACUCCAUGGACUCGAUGGCGCGGAGUGAAGAUCGACCAAGAUGAUGCCGGACGUGGUCGUCACUUUUGCAAGACCCUCUUUUGCGUUUGUCCUACAAAACUAGGCUUUUAUUUGCGCGUGAAUUGUGUUCUAUUGUUUGAAUUUGAACUUAUUUGUCGGAAUCGAUGUCAAAUUCAAUAAUUGGGCGUCUUCGGUUUGCGGGUCGACGCGGCGGUGCCGGAGCAGACCCCGCGUAGCCGACCGUAAAAGAGCAUAUUCACUGAAUAUCUUUUUUUACAGGUCCGUUUUGCGGAAACUGAGUCUGAUCACGUCCGCGCCGGCCUGCAUAUACCCUUUUUCCGUGAACUGCAAUAGACUUAUGCGGGUCGGGAUUUUGCGGGGUCUGCUAGAGCUAGAGAUGCUCUAAGGUGUUUUAGACAGUUCAGACAACGCCCAAAAUAGUUUGGUAUGAACUAUCUAAAACGUCUUACAAAAAAGAGCGGAGGGAGUAUUUUUUUUUGGGUGAAACAUUAUGGGUCCUCUUUUGAUUACGUAAAUAUUAUUCAAAUACACAAUACGUUACUUUUAAAAUACAUGGUAAGUACUUUUCAUUAUGCUAUGAUUUUUUCCAAGUUUUCUUUGGGGAAUUUUCAAAGUAAAUGGUGAAGAUUUAUUAAAUACACGAUGUACUUUUUUUUAUAAGAGACGGCCAUUUUUUAGUACACGAUGAACCCUUUUGCGUAACACGACGAACAAAUAUUAACAUGCGACAGAAAUUUUAACACAGGAUGAGGAGAGUGCGAGAGCACGUGGAAGCGGAGCCAGCGCUGGGACAAGCACUGGCGCAGGAGAUGGGGUGCGCUCGAGGAGCGCAUCGACAAGGAGUUGAAGCUGUUGGCCCUUCGGAUCGUCGCUGAGGCCAACAUAGAGGAGCGUGUUCGUAUGGUCUCACUAGAUGUCUAGAUCCCGUGCCUGGCGCACCAUAUGUCAGUGUGAUCUCACGAUAUCAAGGAUCAGGGGAGUCCUUUUAUGGUUCGGCCAGGGGCUAAAACACUUAAGAUAAACAACUAGUUAAAUCAUCACCUUAAUUAAGGCAUGACUCUUUUUUUUAUCAGUGAAAACAACAGGAGAGGCUCCUACCGACAUGGCCCUUUUUACCCAGGUUCAAAUCAUUGUGAUGCGUAAUACCCUAUUCCCGCCUUGUUUUGUUUAUGUGGUGGAUAUAUGGUGAACACAAGUGCUCGCGCACUGCUAGCGAGUGCUUGUGCGUUGUUAUUGUCCUUGAAUCUUUUGUUUGGGAGUGUUGUGGGACCCCUGCAAACAAAAUGCUCCAUGGUCUUACAUGUGGUGCUCAUAAAUUAACUAAAAUAAUAUGUUGACUUUGUUCUUCAUGCCAAGUCCAUAAGACUUAAAAGGUACGUUGAAAACCUACAAAACAUUUCCCGCAAAAAAAAACCCUACAAAACACCAUAGAGGGGAAAUAAACACUAAUAGACAGACUUAAUUAAUGAGAUAAUUAAAGAUAAACUUGAAAACUCACGCACACACGCACAUGCACACGCACGCGCACACACAGAGUCGUCAGUAUUGUUUGUUCGUUUGUUUAGUUAUAAGUUUGUUAUGUUUGCCUUUUACUUUUUUUCUUUUUUUCUUUUCUAACAAGAAGUAUUCCGGAAAAAUCUUAAAUUUACAAAAUUCUGAUCGCAAAUUUAAUCGAUGUUCAUAUUGUGUAAAAAAAGUGUGCAUUUUUUUGAAAAAUAUUCUUACCACAAAAAUAAUUUUCAUGAUUUUUAAGAAAUGUUGACAUGUACUAAAAAAUAUAUGAUCAUUACAUUUUUCAAAUGUUCAUGAAAAGGUAAAAAAACGUUCACCAAAACAUUUUUAACAUGUAUCUUCAAUGUUCAAUGUAAUUUGUAAGUUCACCAUGCAUUUAGAAAAAAAUUGACACAUAUUCAUUUAUUUGAAAAAUGAUUGACACGUCUUUAAAAAAUGUUUACCAUAUAUUUAAGAAAAUGUUCAACACAAUAUUGAAAUUUGCUCAACGUAUUUCAAAAAAUGUUCACCGUGUAUUUAUAGUAAAAUGUUGGAAGGUAUUUUAAAAAUGUGUCGUGUGUUCAAACAAUGUCCAGGGUGUAUUAAAAAAUAUUUGAGAUGUAUCUUACAAAUGUUAAACAUAUAAAAACUGUUCAUCAUCUAUUUACAAAAAUGUUGGAUAUGUAUUCCAAAAAAAUUGAUGUAUAUUCAAAAGUAUUGACUGUAUAUUCAUAAGAAUGUUCGACCAGUAGACCAAAAAUAUUCAAGAUCUAUUCAGAAAAAAUUUGACAUGUACUCCUCCAUUUCUAAAUAUAAGCCUGUUUAGAGAUUUCAAUAUGGACUAUAUACGUAUGUAUAUAGACGUAUUUUAAAGCAUAGAUUCACUCAUUUUACUCUGUAUGUAGUACAUAUGGAAAUCCCUAAAGGGCUUAUAUUUAGAAAUGGAGGGAGUACUUAACAGAAUAAUAUUAAAGAAAAAGCAGAUGAAAGGAAAGAAAAAUGUUUAACACAUGUACAAAAAAUGUUGAAAGUGUAAUAAGAAAAUUUGAGUAACCUAAAACUGGGGCCUAAAAAUCAUGAAUAUGAAAAUAUGAAAAUAAUAGGAAACCUAAAAAGGAAAAGGAAAAAAGAAAAAACCAAACGAAAAUAGAAAACGCACUAAAACAAAUUGAAAGAAAAUAAAAAAGGACGCGGAACCUUCCUUAGGCUGCCUAAACCGGGAGAGCAACUAGUUGACGAGCGCUCCUUCGGAAGCCUCACAACGAUCAGCGCCACUUGGCGCGCUCUCAGUCACCGCCACGUGUCGGGCGCUCCCUUCGGAAUUUUUUCCCGCACGCGUUUUUGGAUUUUUUUUUAAAUGGUUUUUUGAUUUUUUUUUCCACCAUUCUUCCUUAGCUUUUGGACCAAAACAAAAUUCGAAAAAAAAUUGCGCGAAAAAACAUGUUUUUUUUCUUCCGCGGGAGGCACGUUUUUGCUUUUGCGAGAGGCACAACCAUGCCUCUCAGAAAUGAAAAAAAACAUGUUUUCUGUUUUUUUCGCAGAGGCACGGUUUUGCUUUCGCGAGAGGCAUGACCGUGUCUCUCGGAAACGGAAAAAACGUGUUUUGUAUUGUUUUUCCUUCUGCGAGAGGCUCGGAAACGAAAAAAAACGUGUUUUCUGUUUUUUUCUUCCGUAAGAGGCACGAUUUUGCUUCCACGAGAGGCACGGUUGUGUUUUCGCGAGAGGCACGGCCGUGCCUCUCGAAAACGGAAAAAAACGCGUUAUGUUUUUUUCUUCCGUGGGAGGCACGAUUUUGCUUCUGCGUUCUGUUGUGAUUUCUCGAGAGGCACGGCCGUGCCUCUUUCGAAAAGGGAAAAAAACCGUGCUCCCAGUUUGGUUUUUGUGUGAAAAAAGUUCGUCAAAACCUAUCAACAUGGUAUCUAAUUUUGAAGAUCUCGACGCGAGGAAUCCAACGGUGAAAACGGUUCGAGAUUUGGAUGCACGGCUUAAGAGAUAAAACGUUUUGAAUAAACGGAUCUACGAAAAAAAGGGAAAAUUUUCCAUGUUGCGACAAAUGGCGCACAUGCAGCAUGCCACUUCUCACAACCUGGGAAGAUGGGAGUGAUCUUUACAAUGAGUACUACUCAAUUCGUGAUUUCACUAAACCGGAGUACUAAAACCAUGCUAUGGGCCGGCUCACUUCAAUGGUCCCCCAUAUCCUAUUUGGUGCCCUUAGCACCAGUUAUAGGCAUUUCUGUAAACCGUUGCACACCACUAAUCUAUCUUGGGCUGGGCCCAUUUAGAUUUUACACUUUACUUCUCGACAACAAUUCCUCCUUUCCGAAACACACGCAUCGCACGUGAAUGGCCAGGCCAAUAUAAUAUUCGCUUUUCUUUUCAUAAAGGUUCCCAGUAGGUUUUGUGAAGCUUCUACAUGCUUCCGGCUUUUUUAUUUUGCUUUUCCGAUUUUUUUUCUUUGUUCGCAAUUUAUUUUCAAAUUCUUGAAUUUUUUUCAAAUCCACGAACUUUAUUCUAAUUCAACGAUUAUUUUGUGAAUGCGUGAACUUUUUUCAAAUCCAUUGAUUUUUCGUAAAAUCCAACAAAUAUGUUUUGAAUGCGUGAACUUUUUCCAAAUUCAUUAACUUUUUCAAAUCCAUGAACUUUUUCAAUUCUGCAAAUAAAUUUUUUGAAUGCGUGAACUUUUUUGAAAUCGUGAACUUUUCUGAAGUUGUGAACUUUCUGAAGUUCAAGAAAGUUUUCAAAUCCAAAAGAAAUUUGACCUCGUGAACUUUUCUGGAGUUUGAACCUUUUGAAGUUCAAGAAAAUAUUCAAAUCCAAAAGAAAUUUGAACCCGUGAACUUUUAAAAAAAAUUGUGAAUUCAAUUUUCGUGUGCAUUUUUUAAUAUUUUCUUUUGAAUUUUUCGUAUUUUCUAAAGAAGUCAACGGUCAACGAUGGCCUGGUUAACUGUGACCAGUCAACUGUCAAACCGAGCGACCAGAAUCGGGUGAACUGGCAUGUCCUGAGCGAGCACUCGCCUCGUUGCUGGGCCGGCUGAUGGAGGGGAGGCGCAUGAGGCGCUGGGGAGGUGGUCUCGAUGAUCUGUAUGGCAAUAAGUGAUACUCCCUCCGUUCCAUAAUAUAGUGCUUAUAGAUUUUCUCAAAAGUCAAACUUUACAAACUUUGAUCAAGUUUGUAGAGAGAAAUAUUUAUAUCUACAAUAGCAAAAAUAUGUAAUGUGAAACUACAUCUUGUGACGAAUCUAAUGAUAUAUAUUUCGCACUCUAGAUAUAAAUAUUUUUCUCCACAAACUUGGUCAAAGUUUAUGAGGUUUGAUUUUUUUAAAAAUCAAUAGGCACUACAUUAUGAAACGGAGGGAGUACUAUAUAGCGAUCACAUACAAAAUGGGCUUGUCUCAAAAAAAAAUGGGCUCAUUAAAAGAUGAGAAGACAGAGUUUUUUUUUGCGGAAAUAAUUCUUGUAUUACUCAAUCAAAGGGGUUCAAUCACGGCUAACUGCGUCCAAAACGACCUCAGGUCCUGAUCCAAGCCAGACGGCAGUACGGCAUUGGGUCCUACCAAAGUUUGGUAGAAUAUAUGACUGGAAGAAUUACAACUGCGGCGUAUAUGAGUAAUACAAGAAGUAUGUUCAAACAUGCUAUCUUUGAUCUCUCUUAUAAGAAAAGCAUACUUCGAUCUGUUUGUGUCUCCACUUCUGACCAUGUUCACUGCCUCCAAAUUAUCACAUUCGAUAUCAAUUGGUGGGCUGCUCCAUUGUAGUGCAAGCAUUACUCCCUCCCUGACUGCUAAAAUCUCAGAUUCUAGCACAUCAUUGCAUGAGAACAGAUGCCUACAAGAGGGGGCGGGACAAAUGGGUUCUGGUAAUUUUGACCAUAAACCUAUUUGUCGCUGGCCCGAUGCUACAGCCGUUAAUUAAAGUUUGUGACCUCUUGUAUCACGACGGAGCAACACCGAACUCGUAUCGGUAUCGCUUGGGCAGGGGCAGUGAAGAGAGCAACGGGAUUGGUCUAAGGAAAAAAACAUGGUGUUUUAUUCUGUGUGAGUCUGAUCUCCUGCUGUCUGCACCUGAAAACAUGGUGGUUCUGCUUCCUCUUCAGCCCACAGUUCCUGAUACUUCGGGCAAAGGAUUCACCACGAGAAAUGCCCCAAAAUUCAGCCCACAGUUACAGUACUAAUUAUCUUUUCAGUAUUAUCCUCAUGAAAUGCCUCGCAGGUGGUGAUCUGGGCUCGGGAAACACUCAGCCUACAGUUGCUAACAAACUGCCUUCGUCGCCACCAUAUGUACCAAGCCGCAACAGCAACAAGGUCAUGUAUCGGCAGUUCCCUCAUGCCCGGCUGUAACUUUGUCAAUUCUACAGUGACACUCAGGAUUCAGGUAUUGACCUGCCCUUGGAUAUGGAUUCCUGUAUGACACUCAAGAGCACACCUCCUCGCUGUACUGUUUUGUUAAAUGGCAGCUCCAAACUCUUUGCUGCCAAUCCUAGUAUAAUACUGCUGUCAAUAUAGUGCUGGAAAAUCUUUAUUCUCAAAGAUACAACAAAUAAAAACAUCGACGGAGCUGGAAAGGUCAGGUUGGCAUUGCUCAGCCCGGCGAUGGAAGAGUAGAGGAAAGCAACAACGAAGAAGCUAGUGACUAACAUGGCAGCCGCCGUGGCAUUGCUCGUGACCUCGGAGCAGCAGCAACGGUAGGGUGUCAUGCCUAACGUGCACUGAUAAUUAUUUUAAGUUAAGCUCCUGGCUACUCCCUCUAUCCCAUAAUAUAGGACAUUAUUACAUCCAAUAUGGGGCAAAGUAACAGCAGCGCAAUUGGCAAGCCAACACACAAACAACGAACAAUGUGAGACUAAGACAGAACAUCUGGAGAAAUUUUGUAAUUUGAAACAUAACGUAACAAACUCAGACUUAGAUGAACAAUUCGCCACUCAGUUUACAAUACACACCGACAACCGCCUCAAAAACCACCAAAUCAAGGGAUGAGCACAUCGCGCCGCACCUAGAAACAAACUAGCCUAACCAACAAGUGGAUACGAGACCCAGAUUAUUCAAAAGUAAACACGGCUAUGGUGGUGACAUCCUCCUUGCAAUUAAAAGUGGGGAGCUGCUAUACAAGCACGGCUUACUGCGCCUUGGCGAGCUCGGCGCGGAUCUGCUUGGCGGCCUCAACCAUGUUGGUGAGCGCAGGCUUGACCUCGGCGUACUUGCGGGUCUUGAGACCGCAGUCAGGGUUCACCCACAGGAUGUUGGUGUCGAGCACCGCGAGCAUCUUGUUGACACGGUCGGCAAUCUCCUCCUUGGACGGGAUCCUGGGGGAGUGGAUGUCGUACACACCCGGGCCAAUGCCUGCACCGUACACCACACCCUCGCGGAAGACGGAGAGAAGCUUCUCGUCAGACCGCGAGUUCUCAAUGGUGAUCACAUCAGCGUCCAUGUUGAUGAUGGACUGGAUGAUGUCGUUGAAGUUGGAGUAGCACAUGUGGGUGUGGAUCUAUAAAGAGAGAAUGUGUCAGUUGCAAUGCAAUGAUCCAGAAGAAAGGUAGGUUCCUGCAAGGCUCCACUGAAGCAGAUUUUUACCUGGGUGGUGUCCUGGACACCGCAGUUGGUGAUCCUGAAGGAGUGCACGGCCCAGUCCAAGUAGAAAGCGUGCUCAGACUUGCGGAGUGGCAGACCCUCUCUCAAAGCAG